rnacentral:lncRNA from 1 species
AAAAAGAGAAGUUUAUUUUUGAAGAAUUAAAAUAAAUCACUUAGAACUCAAUUUUUUUUUCAUUAUAACAAUUUUAUUUAAUAAGUUGCACAAACAAAAAAAAAGUUUGCAAUUAAAUUUUACUAUAUAGGAAUGAAAAUCUUACUUGAAUGAGACAGUGUUUAUUUUUGCAGUCUAAUCAUGCUUUUAAAAAAUUUUAAAUUUUUUUACCUAAAUGUGUGGGUCUGGCACGUUGACAAGUCCAGGCGCAUGGUUCUGCCAUGAUUGCGAGGCCUAGAAGCUUGGGUCUAGCAACUAUGCCACAUCCAAGCAUCUUGGGUCUGGCAAACAUAUCUUAUUUGACAAACAACAAACAAAUAGGAUAAUUGUGAACUUUAGUUGUCAGGAGAGAGAAGAGAAAAAAAACACAAACAAUCGAUUACUAGCGGCAAUCCAACCAUUAUCUGUCUACAAGCGUCAUACCAUGCGAAAAAAAGCACAACUGCACAUCCAAUGAGACUACAGAUGAUCAAAUUUGACCACUAGAAAGCAUUACACGAGCCUCUUUAAUGGCGCGAACGUCAUCCAUUCACUAGGAAAGAGAAGGAAAGCCAAAGAAACAUUUCGUGAAAAAAAAAAAAACUACUAUUAUAUUUAACAGUAAAAAUCUCUUGAUUUAUAAUGAUUUUUUUACAUCAUUUAGUUUUUUUUAUAACAAUAAUAAUUAUUAUAAUAACAAUACUAUGUAACCUCGCUUUAUUUUCGAAAGUAGAUGACGAUCGGGCUUCAUGGCCCAGGAAGGAAAAAUAUACAGAGAAUCUUUUGACUCAAAUCUACGUGGUUUUAGAAGAACUGGGAUAUGUUUGGUGUUAGCAAUUUAAUAUGUACUUUAGAUUUCAAAUGUGUAAGUCGUAGGAAUAUGUCUUUUUUGUGUAGUUGUGUUUUGUUAAAAUAAAUUUUUGUUUUCAUAUAUGUGCUUAUUGUUUUUUAGUUAGAGGCCAUAUGAAAUAAAAAUAUAAUGCUAUUUUACUCUCGAAAUUCACAUUAUUUAAAAUUAAAAUUUGAUAUUUUCUUUUUAUUUAAGGCUUUUACUGUUAUGAUAAAUUAUUAGAUAUAUUUAAGUUUACCAUGUUAUUUAUAGAAUAAACUAAUAAACAUAAGAUACAAAUAAGACUCAGUAAUUUGUAUUUAUUUCACACGAUAUAUAUAUAUAUAUAUAUAUAUAUAUAUAUAUAUAUAUUAUUUCUUUAGCUUAGUUUAUGUAUGAAAUGGUAGACUUAGGCUACCUAAUUUUUUUUUAUUAGACAUAAUAUUUAAUACUCAUUGGAUUUGAUUCAUUCAUAGGCUCUUGGAAACACUUAGAAUUUAAUUUAAUUUCAAUUGUUAAAUCAAUUCAUGUGUUUGAAGUUAUUUUAAGAGUAUUGAUUUGAAUUUUAAAUUAAAUUCAAAUCAUAAAAAAAUGACCAAAACAAAUAAAAAGAUCUCUCCUUUGAUUUGCUACAUUAAUUUCUAUAAAAAUACUAUUUCAAAAAUACCUUUUUUGUUUUCUCUCAAAAACCCCCCAACACUUCUCUUUAUCAUCUCUUUCUUUUCUUCAACAAUGCUUAAGUGUAGAGUUUUGGGUCAAAAUUUUACUAGGUAAAUUGUCAGUGGCUCAACCUCUAUCCACCACAUGGAGUCAUGGCUUUUCUGCUUCUUCGUCUUCCUCUAUUUUCCUUUCUCUUCAUUCAUUCAGCUUCUUGCAACUCUAUUUCUUCUCCACAAACCUUUUCUAAUAUACGAAAAAAAUUAUUUAUUUAGGGCACACUCUUGAUCUCCAAAUCUUUCUCUUGGAAUCUAUUGGUUGCGAAUUUUAGAAAUGCAAUUUAUCUUUGAAAUUUAGGAUUCUAAGGUUUCUAUGUCCUUUGAUUCAAGGAGAAACAUUAACUAAUAACAAUGAUCCUAAAAAGCAAUUUUUGAAUUCCUAAAUGGUGAUUUGUUUUUUAAAAAUGCUUAACCAUCUUAUUUCCAUAAUUAUAUCAUAUCUUGCAAAAUUGGGAUGAUUAAAGGAGUUUAAGCUUAAGCAUGGCUUACUAAGUACAACUCACAUAACUUAUCAGAUCAAGCACAUUUUUAAUAUGCAUAUAACGUAUAUUUAGAUAGUAAAUUUAUGAAACGAAUCAUUCAUUUUAUAUCAACAUAGCCAUUUAUAUCCAUAAGUUACGCCAAGUCGCCAAGGGCAUUCUAUAUCAAGUUCACGGAUUUUAGAGGUGAUUCUUAUAAAGUUUACACUUUGUUUAUUUCUUUUAACACUUAAUUCAUAUUUCAGAUCAUAUGAUAUAUAUUUAAAUUGAAAUUUAAACUCGUAUCCAUAUAAAUAAUAUAAAUAGCAUGAAGCUUGUCGCAGUGUGGUCUGAACUUGGAGUAGGUUCGAUCGGUGGCUCAGGAGGUGUUGGUUGAGGAAAUGGUGGUGGGAGUCGAACGUGGGAGGAGAAAGAAAAAGAUUUGUAGAGGAGAGAGAAAGGCCGAAAGGAGAAGAGAGAGAGUUGUGGUGGCUGUUUGGUGGCUGACUAGUGGUUGUGUUGGCUUCCUGUGGUGGAGUUGGUGGCUGAAGAGCUAGUGGUAGCGUGGUUUGGAGGCUAGAAAGGUGGAGAGAGAGCGGGAGAGAAAAUGGCAGGAAAGAAUAGGGAGGAGGCUAGUUUUUGGAUCCGAUUUUCUUUAUGCUCAGACCAUGAAAUCCACACCUAUUUAUAAGGGAUGAAAAAGGGUAAUCUUGUCUACACGAGAGAAAACUUUUGACCGUUGAUUCAGUUGGGAAGGAUCUCAACCAUUGGUUUAAAGUAGGCACCAUGAACUGUUAAAUUUGACAGUUCAAGGCUACCUGAGUUGGCCUUUUUAGGCCGACGCCGAGGCCACUAUGUUGUCAAUUGGUUUGAACAGGCCACAUCCAGAGAGGGAUGUUAGGUAAUCAUUUGCAUGCAAGUUUUGUCAAUUUUGGUGGAGAUUAGAGACAUUAAAUGCACCUGCAAAGUAGUAACCUGAACAACUUUUCGAGGAAGACAACGAAUAGUGACUGGACGACGUGUCGUCUGGUCACCCUUUUUUUCAAAGUUCAAUGUAGUCCUCCACCUUUCAAUUUAUCUUAAUUGCACUCCUAAUUGAUCAUAAACUUUUGAUUUAAUGCAAUUAAGCCAGCCUCUAAUUUACAUCUUUUGCACUUUGGUCCUUGGUCUCGUAUUUAUGCAAUUUGAUCCCUAAUUGACCAUUAAACUUUUAAUUUUCUUCAAUUUCAUCCACAGUUGUGUCAGUUAAACCCCUAUAGUUUUGCGCCUUUUACAAAACAAAGGUUUAGGGUAAGCUUUGUUUUAUUUUAUGAGAAUAUGCAACCAAAACUCAGUUUUGAAGUUGACUCAUAGUGCUUGGGCUAUUCAUCGGGUUUUUUUUUGGUGUAUGGUUAGGAUAUCGCUUGAAUUUACAUAACUUGUUUGUUUAAAACAAACACCAAUUUGAUUUUUGUUUUGUAUUAAAACUUUGAUUUCCUAAAAAUCCUUGUAAAAACAUGGGAUCAUGCAUAGUUUUUGAAGAAAAGGGAAACACACCAAAGGGUUCUUGGUGUAGAGGUUUCGUGAGUAAAGGGUGUACUCAAUGUGUUAUUUGUAUGAAACAACAAGAAAAAUAAAGGCACAUCAUGAACACAUGAUCUUAUUAACAAGAAAGACUCAUUUAACAGAGAAAGUCUUGUGACAUUAUGAGUUAAAUUACUAACAAGACUAAAACAUGUUGAAAUAUGACAAAUUCAAAAUAACUUUGCAGACAUGAUCAAAAAGAGAAAAUUAUUUUGAACACAAUAGGGACAUGCUCCAUUUUCUAACUCUAGUACACUUCCCUUUUAUCCAGCCUCCCUACAAAAGCUUUUAUAGGCAUUUCUUCAACGGUGUGGACAAACACCCCUUUGAAUUCAAGUCCCUCAAAAACAUGUUGCCUUCUUUGUGCUCUACUCUAACCAUUGGUGCUUUCUGAUUUCCUAAGCAAUCUAACUCUAAUGCAUUUACCGAUCAACUGCUUGAAGCAUGAUUGGGUAGGGAGUUUGUACUCACGUUUGAUGCUUCUUUGAAUGUUACCCACGUAAUUUUAAUCAGAUGCAUGAGCCAUUUCUCAAAGGCAUUACAUGAAUGAAUAUCAUGUCCUGCAACACUAGCAUGGUAUUCACAAGUAAGAUCUGACUUAUACCAAUUAGGGUAAGAUGGUUAUAGAGACGUGUGUGGUUCUAGAGCUACAUACCCGAUGCUCAGCAGCUUUUGGUAAAUCUCAUUUAAAGAUAGUGGUAAUGAGAUAACUGUUGUUGAUCCCUUUAGUAAUUUUAGCUUUUAACUUGAAUUUUUUUUUUUGGGGCUCAAGUUGUUUAGUAGGAAACAGAGAGUUUGGCAAUUUAAGAUGAAGUGUGGUAGUUUUGAAAUUGUUUUUUCCUACCCCUAUAGUCACAUUUAACAUGGUCAAUCUCCUUCAUUUUCCUUUUGAAGCCUCUCUUCUUAGUGGGUGUCAAAAUUCUACAACUAUUGACCUUUUACUCUAUAUGCUCAGUCACUGCCACCAUGUUAAUGAAUUGCUGGGCUAAACUACCCAUCACAUGCUUGUAAUAUGGUGUUUUGAAUGUGUUUGCAAAUAGAGUGACCAUCUUUUUUUUUAAGAGUAAAGGAUGCACCUGUGCAACUAAAUCCCUCCAUUUUUUUUUGGCAUAUUUCCUUAUGUUUUCUUUAUCUCCUUUUCAGAUUGGACAAGCUAGUUUUAUCAUGAGUAACAUUCAUGUUAUACUCUUAUUGCAAAAUCAUCCACCAGAUCUUUCCAUCUUCUGAUCUUUGAGCUGCUUAGCCUCAUGUUCCAAUUCAAUGCUACCCCAUUCAAACUAUCUUGGAAAAAAUAAAUUAAUAGUUUCUUAUCCUAUAUUACUUUUGCCAUUUUAUUGUAAUAGGAAUUGAGGUAGAUUAAGACACAUUAUGUUUUAGUGUAUUUGAUGAAUUCAAGAAUAAAAAAACGUUUUUAGUACAACCACAUUCAAGACAAACGAGACACAUUAAAAAAAAAAAAAGAGGGACCCUUUUUUCUAUCUAUAAGAAAAAGGACAAGCACCCUUUCCCCCAACCCUAUCUAUCAAUUACAAUAACUGUAGAUGGAGUAUUCUUACAAUUUAUAAUGGAGUCAUCCUCAAAUUAAAAUUAACAAAAAAAAAAAACUGAUCCCAUUUUUUUUCAUAAAUAAAUAAAUUUAUGAGAAAUAAAAUUACCAAAAACAUCCUCCAUUUUUUACAACUGGUUCUAACCCCUAAGCACGACAUCAGCAAAUUGAUGUCCCUUUUAGAAGAAAUUGCCUCUCAAUAUCCUGCAUGAACACACACGCACAGUCAUCAGUAUGAGCCCUCGGCAAAAAAUCUAGAGGCCAACCGUUCUCUGUUGUGAAUGGCUACUGCACUAAAAAAGAGGGAGAGUGGCAAUUUCAGGUACAAGAUCACUAAUCCAAUACAGCUUCCCUGUAAGUUUAUAGAAAUCCAAACAUAUAGAUGUAUGACAUGACACAGACAUUCUAGAGAUAUAAAUAUUCUUCAAGUUAGUCAUACGAGCCACAUUUCAUUACAAGUCUCUUAAAACUGUUUCAAUUACAUGUCUUUACAAGUUGCAUAAUCAAAGAAAAGAAGUUUAUCAAAUCACUUAAUUCAAAAAAUGAAACCAACAAAGCAAUGACUACCGCCAUUGUCAGCAAAGCCAGCUAAAUGUCGUGAAAAUUUUCCUUCUGUCAAAUUUCUUUUUUAACUUGUGGUUCCUGAUUUGAGCACUUGAACACAGGAGAGAGAGAAAACUAAUGGAAAUGAUAGAGCUAGGAAACCACGUAUGCUUGCUGAGAAACUUGCCAAAAGGAAACUACAUAAAUACAUUUAGCUAACUACUGUACGAGAAGAAAGUUUGCAAGCACUUUUUGCGUGAAACUAUGCAAAUAAUCCUUGCAAAAUAUUUAAUGGUACCUUCUCAUGCUCCCUCCUGUAGUCUUUUUGGUUCAGUAUCUUGUCACCUAAAGCUUGAUUUUGCAUUUUGAGCACCAUAUUCCGCUGUCCCAGUUUCUCAAUCUCAUUCAAAAGCUGUAUUCUUUCAGAUGCCCAAUUAUCCCACUUGGCCUUUUGACACAACAUAUUGCGUUCAUUUUCUAGCAGCACCAUCUCAAGUUGGUUAGGUCCAAGCUACAACAGUAAAGAAAGCAUUGUCAUCCACAAGUUCACUAGCUUGUUACAGGUAGAAACAUUUGCAACCACAAUUUUACCGAGAAAAAAAAGAUACGAGACAAUGGUCGUUAACAUGACUAUCACUGUAACUGGUAUUUCGCAAUACAAAGAGGACGCAAAGUAAAUCAAAGGAUUUGUUCAAUAGAAACAAAAUCAGUAUGUGAUUUGCCACACAGUCAGUUAAAGCUAAUCAGUUACCUAGCAUUACAAUCUUACAUCAGAAUGCGAGUGUGAUGGAACCUCGAGCUACAUUCACACUUCAACUAGCUUCAGAUGCAUCAAAUGUUAGAGUUGAGCAGACAGUGAAAAUAGUCCCAGAUAGAUUGGCAUGGCUGCACUAAAAACCCAGGGCAAUAGAGACUAGACUAAAACCCUGAAACCAAACUCAUGGAACUAAUACAACUCAUAAGAUUCAUCUGAUUUACAAAUAUGUAAAGAAAAAUAUAAUUAACAUUAGCGGAGUGCAAAACCUCUUCAUCCAACUUACCUUUUAGAAAUGUAUUCUUAACAUUGACUUGCCUGAUUAGGCAUCAUCGUAACAAUAGAAAGACAAGGAUAUAUACAGUAUGCUUGAAGCCUUGCUACAAGCCCUGAAGAUUUAAGCAAAGUGAUCAAUAGCUUCCUAUUAUGUGUAAUUGGCUGCAAAUUUUAUAAUCUCUUCUUUUUUUUUCAAAAUUGUUGCUCAACGAAGAUAAAGGAAUACAAAUUAUAAAAAGAUCUUGGGAUUUAAGACAAAAAUCAAACACAAAGCUGCAAAGAUUGACCCAGCUUUGAGGAAGACGGGGAAAAAGGAAUUCAACUGGAGGCACUUCAAGUCAGCAACUUAAGAAUUUUAGUGAAGCUCGACAAAUAAAAAUUUCCAUAUCCAGCUAGAGCAGAAGGGAUGGACAUGAUUGCACAGGAUAGCAGUAAAGAUGAAACCAACGAAGUAAGACUACAGAAGUGAUACACAAGAGACGGAUAGACUGAACCAAGGCAAGAGACACGCAAAAAACCACGUAACAGUACCGCACCAAUUGUAUCUUAUAAUUUAAUAUAAUCCUCAGCUUUCUCCUUAAUUUUAUGACAGAUCAACAUCCAUCACCAUUCAUGAAUAUAUCAUCAUGAUCACCAAUAUUUGUAGAGAUGCUAAAGUAAUACAUGCAAAUUCACCAACAGCCAUAUAACUGGACUGAACCAAGGAGGCAGUAAGGCACCAAUUGUAUCUUAAAUUUAAUGAUAUCCUCAGUAUUCUCCUUGAUAAUUUAUGAUGGAUCAACAUCCAUCAACAUUCAUGGGUGGAUCAUCACAGAUUUACAUAGUUAAUAUAAGUAAUAGUUCGAGAUUCACCAGUAGCUUUUAAGACUAAUCACCAAUUGACACUUUCUUCAUAUCUAGCUAUCAACUACUCAUUAAAAGUUUUGUCUCGCGUAAUCUGAAGAAUUCAAGAAGCCUACAUGAGGCAUAUUAAUAAGUGUUAAUUCAUAUGCCCAAACAGGAACAAUGUAAUACCAACAAAUAAAUCAGCUCAGCCUAGAUGAAUAAUUUUAAGGGGAUGGUUGCAAGAGAAAAAAGAACACCCGCACACAUACAUACAUGCAUACACAUACGCAUACGCAUACGCAUACACAUACACAUACACAUACACAUAGAUACAUACAUACAUACGUGCGUGUGUGUGUGGGGAGAGGGAGGGAGAGAGAGAGAGAGAAAGAGAGAGAGAUGCACCAUUAGUUGUUGCACAAAAGGGUCAUGUGACAGUGUCUCCAACAGAUUUUCUUGAUUAGAAAUGACUUUCUUUGAGUUGCCAGUCUCUCUUUUAAGUUUCCCUAUCUCAACUUCUUUUGACUGCAAUUUUUGAACCAUUGAAUCAUUUUCUUUCCUACAAGACUCCUUCUCCCUCUUCAAAUGAGCAUUUUCUUCCCGAAGAAUUUGCAAGUUACUCCCCAGCUCUUCUUUCCUUAUCUGCCAAAAAGAAAUUAGGAUAUAUAUAUAUAUAUAUAUAGAAAAAACAUGAUUUCUUUAGCUAUUUGCCUCACACGAGGAAGACCAGAAGGUACAGUGCUAUACCUUACAACGUUGUCGAUAAUUGGCAUCGAUUUUUCUUUUCUUAUCCUUUUGAUCUUCUGGAGUUACAGCAAUGUUUAUUCCAUGCUGUGGUACGCCUGGUUGGGCCAACAUAUGUUGAGGCACUGUCAGCAUGUUUGCUUCCUCUGAGCCCAUACAACAAAUUCAUCUUAGUACAGUUCAAACAAUUCUCUAUGAAUAACUCUAGAACGUGAACUACCAUCAAGCAAAGUAAUUUGUGAGAUGAAUUUGUUAAAAUUGCGAGCAAACCACAACUAAGCAUGAACAUAGAACGAACACGCAUUCAUUCUUAAGCCUCAAAAUACAUCUUUCCAUUAAUGUUGGGAUGGUUACGGUAAAAUGAAAGCAUGAAAAGGAGAAAUGAUGGAUUUUGACCCAUCCAUCUUGUUAUUCCAAAAACAAGGAAAAGCGAAGGACAGAUUGUAAAUUACAAGCGAGGCAUAGGGAAGGAUCCUUUAUUUCCUUCCUCGGUUGUUCAUCCAUCAUACCAAACAUAGAAAAUAUCAAAAACCCAACAAUGAUGCUUGCCUGAGAAAAGUGGAAACAGGGUAACCCCAGAUAUGACCAAUCAUUGAAGAUAAUAUAAAAGAAAAUAUUGACAAGUCUUUUCGUAGAUCUAACAACAAUUGUAAGUUCAGAAGUAGUUUUACCUGCUGAGUAGUCUUGUAGUGGGGUGUAGUGGGGAACCGUGCCAUCCAGUAAACCGUAAGUCAUCUUCAUCGGAAAUUCAAGAAGCUAUGAUUGUGUACAGAAGAAGCACUUUAAAUAAAAGAAGAAAAAUCCGCUGGGUCACUGCAUAUGACAGAAUGGAGUCGCGCGAAAUAAGGUCCAUGCCACGCGAUAGAUUCCUCGAAUUGUAAUGAAAACGCUGGGUAUCGGCCGGUUCUUCUCUUCCAAAUUUCUCUCGUAACUGUUUAAAAGCGUAAGUAUUUAAAAGUGUAGCUUAGGUUAUUUUUUUAACUGUUUUUAUUUAGAAAUAUAUUAAAAUAAUAUAUUUUUAUUUUUUAAAAUUUAUUUUUUAUAUCAACACAUAAAAAUUAAUUUUUUUAAAAUAAAAAACAAGUUAAACCUCAACAUAAUUAGCAAUGAAAUAGCUGUCUGGAUAUUAGUAAAGUAGAUUAGGGUUAAUUGAACUCCUUUGCUUUAGGCUUAUGUGUCAUAAUGUCCCUCAACUUAGCACUAUAUCCAUUAAACUAAAAAAAUCCCAAAACUUCACCCCCAAAACCCUAAGAAUCGAAUAUUAACUGAAGAUGCGUGUUCAAGAGCCCAGCCAUGAUAAGCAUUUAAUCAAUUUUAACAAGCAUCCAUCGAUCGGCUCUAGAAAAUUAAGAGCAAAAAACAUGUACAAAUUUAAACAUGCCUGCCCAAAUUGAUAAAUAUAUAUCCAUACAAGAGGGAUGAUGACUUAUAAAGAGAAUAAGAAAAUUAAAAUAAACCUAACUCAUAACAUUUAUGUUAGCCCUACUCUGGGUUAAUAUGAAGUUGUAUUCUUUUAUAUAUUUUAAGUUCUUUUGAGCUGAAGCUAUCAAACUCUUGCAUCUAUUCUGAAAAGAGGUAAAUUAUACUUAGUAGUUUAGAAAAAAAAAAAGUAGAAAUUGAAAAAAUAAACAUGCAGUAAAAUAAAAUAAAUCUAAUGAAAAAAUCCAAAACAAAGGGAGAAUUUCAGACCCGGCCUGCCAUUAAAGAAUUGGGAUCUUAUGUAUUUUUUUUUUAUGAUUUUAGAUAUUCAAAUCAGCUUACGCGAAUUAUAAUUAAGCUUACGCGAAUUAUAAUUAAUCUUUAUAUAUUGACUAGACAGGUGAUCAAAAGAAAAGGACAGAAAUGAUCCUAUCCUUCUAAGUUUAUUUUGUUAAUUUUUUUUUUUAUAUAUAAAAAAACUAAGUUAACGCUGGUAAGAUACGGUGCUUCAAGUUCUUAAAAUCUUCAAUAUCUUAAUGAAUCGGAGCAUCAUCGCUCGGUACGAACGUGUCACCACGUGCUUGCGCUCUACACCGCAAGAGCCCCCAAAGUAUGAACAUAAAGUACGAACGGUGGUGGCACCAUUCUAGAAUAGCUACCUUUUGUUAUUCUUCUCUCUCUCUCUAUGUGUUCUUAUUUUUAUCCAUUUCUUUCUUUCUCUCCGCUGGCCCUUCUGGUCAAAAUAAUCUGCAGACAGCCUCAACGAAAAAAAAAAAAAACUAUAUGUCUUGAUAAAUUAAAUUGUAUCGAGUUAACUUAAUAUGUUAUUGUUAAAAAUAUAGAAGUGAUUAUAAAUAGGCAAAACGCUCAUUGAGCCACUGAACAAAAUAACUUAUCCCAUUAAAAUUGAUCGAAAACGAAUUUAUUUAUAUCUUGACAUUGCUAUAUAUGAUCUAAAUAAUUGGUCUCAAACUUUGAAAAGCUAGCAGAAGUUUUCAAAAAUCUUGGAAGGCCAUGUGCUUUGCUUGUUGGACCGACACUUGCAGGGCCAUUAGAAACGAGGUGGCCCAUGAACGGGGCGUCGAGAGAUGAUUUGACAGCGAGAUGGAUGAGCCCUCCAAGGCUAACAAAAGUCGUGCUUGUUUCUCUCUCUCUUUCAUAUGUUUUACGAAUUCGAAGGAUGUCGCUCGAUAUCGCUCGAUUUCGCUCGACAUGACCAAACUAACUUUUCUUCAGUCUUCUUAUAAAAAGCAACACCCUCUCGUCAAAUUUACGAAAAGCUAGCUAGCUGCCUGCUGCUCCAAAGGUUCUUAUCGAUUCAACUGCUUUGACUGUUCGUUAGUUCUUCAGCCGGUUGGCUCAUGAGCUUCAAUUGCUUUUCUUUUUCUCCAGAAAGCCAGCGAUGAAUUACGAAAGUCCGUGGCAACAUCUCCUUGAAGCAUCUCUACCUCCACCUGCACAUGAAUUUGAGGCUUAUAAUGGUAAAUGUAUUUCUUCCAUAUAUCCAGAGAUUUAUUUCAUUUCAUCUUUGCUUUAGAAAGCCGAUUGAUCCAUUUCUGUUGGAAUACUUGGAUCUAGUAAGUUCUAUUGUCUUCAAUUCCUCGCCACCUUGCUCAUGACUGCGAUUAAUUCUUUAUUUUCUCACCCUGUAUCUCAUCUUUUAUUAUUACACAUACCAUCUGCUUCUCAAACCCACGGAGGAAAAAUAACUAUGCUGGUGAAGAAAGGACACAUACAUACAUACAUACAUACAUACAGGCGCGUGCGUUCACACACACGUAUACAUACCAAUACAUGUUUCGGUAAAUACCUGCUUCAAGAGUUUUGGUCUUUUAUGUACUUAAAACACUGAGGGAGGAGCACCAUAUUCGUCGUUGACAGAAUUUGAAACCGAUCAGAAGGCAAGGGGACUUCAGCAAGCCUUUAACUACUUCUUGGCAGCAGGCCCAGAUAGUCCUCAUCAGUCUUCAAAUAUAACAGAUACUGAUAAGAAAGGACAGGAUCUGGAAGCAACUAAAGAUCAAAUUGCAAAGAAAAGAAAGAUUGACAGGGCAUAUCGUGAACGAUGCAAGGUAAACACCAUUGUCUAUCUAUUUACUCUUUUGCUUUCUUUUUCCUUGAUUAGUUUUUUUAUUUUUAGUUCAAAGAUCAUGGCAUCCAAGAGCAUUUGAAUUGAAUUUGUACGGAGAUUUUCUAGAGUAAUGUACUUGAACCCAAAUUGAUCUUAGAAAUCUAGUAUCGCGAAGGGAGAUGUUCCCUAAUUCCAAUUUUUUUAUUGUUCCUAAGGUCUGGCCGGUCAUUUGACGAAGUAGUGAAAGAAAAAUAGAAAAAAAACAAAAUAUAGUUGAGAAAUCUUUGAUCUUGCUAUAUAACCUCUUGGUAAAUUAUGGGUACAAUUCAACAAUAAAAAUUAAAAGUUAUGCGUGUUUUUGUCAAAAAAAUCAUUAUUUAGACUCAUCCAUUUGGUCCAAGAAUUGUAUUUAUAUAAUCUAAUUAUAAAAAAUUCCUAUCUAACAACUCGAUAGAAUCAUUUAAAUUGUCUGUAUUUUUUUUUGGAUUUAGAUUUAUCUAUUUGGCCCAUAAAAUUAUCUGCUAGAUAUCAAUCUAAUUAUAACAAAUUCAUAACUGAAAAGUCAAAUUCCUCAUAUCUCCUACAUGAUUAUGAAAUGCUCUUUAUUUUAAAAUGCAUUGAAUUGUUUGUAAUUUUACCAUGUCAUCAAAAGUUUGUCUCAAAACAGAACAAGAAGUCAUCAAUGGUAGUAGCUAUACAAGUUAUAAUAUUAAUGAUUUUUUUUAAAGGCUAGACUCAAUUAUAUCAUUAAGGAGGCAAAACUAUUGUAUCAUUAAUAUCAAAUCAAAACCAAAAAAUAUAAUCUAGCCAACAAGACAAUGACUAGAAUCAAAAUAGAACAAUAACCAUAUGUAUUAUGUUAAUGCCAUACAGAGCAUAUAUAAUUGCAUUUGAAUGACUCUGGUGUUCUUUUAAUGUUUUUGCUUAUAUUAAAAAACCAUACAUGAUUGCAACUUUCAAGAAAAUUUAUAGACAUGCAUCUAUAGUAUAACACUAAAACAAGAUCAAUUAACAGAAAAUCACGUCUACAAGAGGGAAAUUGAUAUGUCCCAAAAACUCAUGGUGCAUAUUUAAAAAAAAAAAGAAAAAGAAUCAGCAUUUUUAUAGGCUCUACCAUAUAUUUACAUUUAAAUUACGAAUUGCCAUGCAUAGGGACAAAAUAUUAGCUUAUUUAUCUACUGACAAGUCUAUUAACCAAUAAUAGCACAACAUUUAUCCUUUUAUCUAUCAAAUGACAAAUUAAUUAUGAAACCUGUUUUUUCUAAAAAUUCUUGCAUCAUGAAAAUUUUGUCUAAAUAAAUGUAAAAAGAUGGAAAAUAUAUAUAUAUGCAUAUAUGUAGUACCAAACUUUAUUCCAAUGAACUCGUAGCUCAAUUGAAACUAGUGUCUCCUCUCUCUUUUUAAAAAUUUAAAGCUCCAACCUCUCCUUUAUAUAUAUAUCAAACAUUCAUGUUAAACAGAUAUGCUCCCUUUUUAAAUUUGCUUAAAUUCUAAUUUGAUUGUGGGUGCAAAUUGUUAAUAUUUUAAACUUAUGAACUUGUAAAGAAACAUGCUAAAAAAAGGUUGUGGUAGUAUAAUAAUAAUAAUAAUAAAAAGAAGUGAAGUGAGAAUAAUACUACCAAAUUGAAAAAAGUUGUAGAGAAAUUCAUAUAGAAAUCUCAAUCACUAAAAUUAUGGCUACCUCGUUUUGAUUUCCAUAUAUGUUUCUUCGGGUUGACCUCCUUUAGGUAGUCUAACGUGCAACAUCACCCUUAAGAGGAGGGUGUUGCUACCAUUGAGGUGCCUUUUUUUAUUCAUGAGUAGGUUCAAUGGAACUUAACUACGUGCAAUGGAGGAUUGCGUCCCCCUAUUAAAUCAUUACUGGAUGGGGCUUUGCUGCCUAUUUAUAUAAGCUUUUCUUUCUAAUGUGCAGAUGUAGGGCUAUUCAUUAUGGUUUAUAUCUUAGUCAAUACAUGUUUAAAUCCAUUUUAAUAAUUAAAUUAAUGACUACAGAAGAAUUAUCAACCAUAAAUGCUAGUUAGUUAGGACAAAUAAUGUAAACAUUUUACCUUGCCCCUAUACAGGUGAGCCUUUUAGGCUCUGCACUUAAACUUAGAUAAAAAUCAUGGUCUUUAUGCGAAAAUGAAUUUAAGGAAAACGUGGAUGGGUAAUUUGAAUAAUCAUAAUUGUGUCCUUAAAGCAUCAUGUUAAUGGAAAAAUAUAAAUAAAAUAGUUUCAGUUUAAUGAUUUCCCCUAAAAACCUUAAAUGAGAUGAUGAGCAAUUCUUCGUUCACUUAAACAUUGCUCUGAGUAGAAAACUGGAUCUUUUCAUUUUUCUUUCAGGCUCAUUAAGGCAAAAGAAUUGAGAAACUUUCACUUUUCCUUGUAGAGAAACAAAAUUGAGACCGAGAGAAACUUGGAACAGCUAAGGAAAGAAAACGAUCGAUUAAAAGGAGAGAAUGCCUCCUUUAAAAUGGAAGCAGUUCGGACUAGACAAACUUUGCAAUCUCAAGAACAAGAGAUGAAGCGACUUAGGAAAACAAUUGUUCUACUGAAGGAGAAGCAUGAUAAACAAAAUACUGUUGUGGAGGUCCUUUCAAAGCGACUAGUAAGUGUUUUUCUAUUGAAAAAUUAAUAAUUUGUUUAUUGAUUAAUAGUUCUUUUUCUGUAAUAAAACUGAAUAUGAAGAGUGGCAGACCUCAUUUACUAUUGGGAUUAUUGUACUUUUCAUAACAUAUAUUUGAAGAGGAACUUUGCCGGUUUUAAAUCUAUUGAUGGUUAAUUACUCGCACCCCAAAAAAAAGCAAAAAUUGUGCAUUUUCCAUGCAUCAUUAAUUUAGGCUUAUUAAUAAUUUUCCCAUCUGAGGGAUAUAAAUGAAAUUCAAGCAUUAAACUCAAAAGGAUUAGUAGAUAUUGAUGAAAUCCAUUAAAAUAACAAGCACAAGAGUCCAGACCACUAGCCUGAAUUCUGUUUCUGUCUUUCUUUUAAUAUGGAACUGCUGCUCAUGAAUCAUGAUUCACUAUUUGCAUUGCCUUUAGUAGAGAUUUAUCCAGCCCUUCUUGUACUACUGGUUUAAUAACCUUUAAAUCCUGUAAUCCAUUUUUGAAAAGCAAAGAACCAACCUCCUACUAAUUUCAGGCUCCAUGUCCACUUCGUUGCAAUGAUAUAUACCUUCUACUUUUUGGAAUUAAAGAACAAUUAUUCUACCUUUAUUUGCUAGCUUUUGAUUGGUCACUAAUUAAUUUUAUCUAUACCUUACUAUUGUUUAUUUUCUUUCCCUUGCUGACAGGCUGGUGCCAACGAUACUGAUCUUCAGCGUGAAAAUACACUGCUCAAAAGUAAAAUUUUACUGUUAAGGAGUCAAGUUAAUGACCAAAACAAUGUGGAUAAACUCCAGCUUCAAGAGAAGAAUGCACAACUAGAACAUGAGAAGAGUUCGCUUGAAGUGAUAGUUCAAGCAUUAUGUGAGAAGAUCAACAAUGAGAAGGGCCAUGAAGGGGACCAUGCAUCAUAAGGUAACCGACUUAAUGCUGUUAUGAACAAUAUGCUUUUCAUGUGAAGGGGAAAAUUACGAAAACCAACCUUCAGUUGAAGCAUACUCUGCAUCUUCAUAUUUUUGAACUGUUUUUACCCAGCAAUACUUUGCAAUCAUUGCAAGUUGUGAUUAGAAGAAAUGCCGCAAAACAGGUUAAAAUGUUUAUUCAAUGAUUUGAAAAACUUUUUAUCUCUAGUUGCAGACUCAUAGUUAAGAAGGUUUGCUUAAUUGUUUGACUUUUUGCAUUUUAAACCUUAGAACUAAUAUAAAAAAUGUUUAUCUAGAAGAUAUUCUUAUGAAUUUACCAAACUAAUAUAAAAAAUGCAUCCUUAAAAUUAUUCAGGACGAGGAUUUAGUCUCAGUUAACUUUGAAGCUAGUCUAAGAAUACUCUUGUUAGAGUUAAUAUAAAAUUAUUCCUAGGAUCUCACAACAAUUUAAACUUUUAGUUUAAGAUAGUUUUUUUGGAUAUAGUAUCAGGAUUUCAAAGAGAUCCAAUGCAGCAAAAAUCAUUGAACUCAAGCUAUUUCAUAAUUCUAAAUUAUAGGCUUGCAAGUAAAGAUAAGUGUUAGAAAAACCAUCGAAAUAAAUACAAGGACAUGAAGUAACAUAAAAUGUUUAAGACGGAUCACCCAUCACAAGACUAAUUUUUUUGGAUGGAACACAGACUCAAUUAUCAAUUUAAAGCGGUGCAACUCAAAUACAUCAAAAAGAAUAAAAAGUUUAUGAUUAUGAUAAAUGAUUCAUUCUCAACUUCUUUUAUUAUUUUACAUCGUUAUAUUUAUUUCAUAUGGGAUAGUUUCUCUAACAAAGUAUUGAUUCUAAAUUUGUGGAGGGAAUUCUAGCUUGGUUCCAAAAGGCAUUAUAUUGAUGAUGCUGUAGUUGUGAGCAUCACAUGGUUAAGUGUGUCGUGACGGUGUUUGGUGGUCAUUUUCAGUGGAUACUUCCAACAAUGCACGUGGUUUGGUGAAGGAAGUUUAGGUACUGUUAGAAACCUGGUGUUUUGUUUAAGAAUAAACUCCUGUCUUGCAGGAGCCAGCAAUCCAGUUUGUUAGAGUUGAUUAAGUCAAAUAAUGACUUAGUCAUUAGUUUCUGUUUUCUGUUUCCACAAUCUUCAUGUGGGUUGUUUUUCUUUGAGUCCAAGUUGUAAUGGCUAUUUAAGCCAAAGGCAUUCUAUUAAAUAAAAUGACUACACAGUUAAAGUUGUGCAAGAUCUUUGUUUUGGUAUUUUAACAGGUACUAUUACUAUUAGGCACCCAUGAUGAACAUCAGUGCUCGGCUCUUAGGCAAUUCAUGCAAAUUUUGAAAAUAAAGAUUUGCUUUGAGAGAUGGUGAUCCAGAUGUUGUUGGAAGCGAUAAAGGGUAUAGUCAGAGAGCAAGACUUGCAAUGGUAGGGGUAUUGGAUAGGAGCUCAAAUACUAUUUAUAUUAGAAGUGAUAUAUUUUAAUAUAUAUAUGUAUUUGAGCAGCGUUGAGCCUUAAGCCCUAUUCUCUUAUAAACUCAUGAGUUGUGCUUGUUUUCAUUUUUGUUAAUUCUAAUGCUUAUAAUUUUGGUUUUUGGUGGUUUGUAGUCAGGGUUUUGGUUUUGGUGUAGUCUAGUCUCUUUUAUUAGGGGAAUUUUUUUUAUUAUUAUUAGAUGCUUGUUAUGUUAUAGAAAUAAUUAAAACAGCUAGGUAAAUCAUUCUAGUCAUUAGUCAUUCAUCUACACCAAGAUAUAAUGUACUAAGAUAUAAUUUACUGGAUUAUAUAUUUUCUCUUCGAGAAUUUUUACUAUUUGAUGAAUCCACGUCAAGAUUUUUUCCAUUUAAAAAUAUACUUUCUUCAAGAUUUUUUCUUGUGAAAUUACUUCACCAAUUCCAAGAGUUUUUACCUAAUUUUUAAAAGUUUAUAAAUAUGAUUUUUGUUAUUGUAAUUUACUUAAUAGAAUAGAUAUUACAAUUGAAAUUUUAAAUAUCUCAAUAUAGCACUUGUAAGAUUAGAAAGUGUUUAAGUAUAAUGAAAAUGAAAAUAUAUACUCUUGUGCUAGAUUAUGAAGAUUUGAUUACAUAAAUUUGAGUAUAAUCAAUGAUUGAUAUUCUCUAGUGUUUUUGCACUUGUAAUAGCUUGUAUAUGAUAUAUGUUCAAAAUCCCUUCAUGAUUUGUAAUUAGAUAAGCUAUAUAUAUGUUCUUAAUAAAAACUAGUUAUUUAUAGUCGUUAUAGUCCCUUUAACAACUUAAACGGUCGAUUAAUUCAAAUUAGUCAAGUCAAUUAGUUGAUCGGUUUCUAUGGAAUUAUUAGGUGUUCAUCACUAAUAAAUAAGCGAUUGUUCGGUUCACUUAAUCAUACCAAACAAUUGGCUGGUUCAUUUAGAAUCUUGUUUCACCUAGAUUAACCUAGGUGAAUUCUUUAAAUUGUCUAUAAUAGAUUAUAUAAUAUUAUUUAUUAAUUCUUCCAAAUGUAUGCAUAGUAAAGUAUGUGUGUUUGUUUUACGUGUGCUAUUAAGAUGUGAUAAAAUAUAAACAUGUAAAACAUAACAUUAAAAACUUUAUAAAAUUCUCCAUGUGAGAACUUUAUGAUAAGUACCCGUGAAAAAAAGUCUAGAAGUCUGAGUGAAAAUUCUCCAUGUGACUUGCUAAGGAUGAUCUCAAUGAAAUAUCCACCGAUUGAUCUUACCUAAAUAAAACUCUUUAACUAUGAUGAGAGAACAACUUUACUCAAUCACAACAUAUUCUCCAUUUUCUAUUCGACACAGGAAUUGACCUUCCUUGAAUACAAUGGUUUUUAAAACUAACAUUUAAGGACAAUAUAGCCUGAAUAAAAAAAGCGAGGCACCUUCACACAAGUUAAGGUGGUGUUUGUUUUUUAACAUAAUAACUGAACAUUUAAUAAGGAGCCACCUUGUCGAAGUAUUCAGGUACCCACCUUAUUUAGGUAUAAAAGAAAUCCUCCUUUAUAACUAGUUCAAAAGGCACAUUACAUGAGGAAACAAGAUGGAUAGAUAGUUCCAAACUUGAUGACACGUAUUUUCAAGGCCUCGGUCCGUUCAAAUCACACGUAUAAAAAAACCAUAUUAUUUUAAACUGAGAUAACCUUAUUUUGAGACGGGAAAAUGAUGAAAGGUGCAUCUCUUCAUUUUGACAUGCCUGACAAUCUCUCUACUGGAUGCCAAACCUCACUUCUUUACAAGCUUUCAAGAUUCCUGAACCAAACUUACAUGGUAUUAUAUAGAAUGUAAAUUCUCAUUAUAUAUAAUACAUGAAUAAAUAGAAGAUCCAUUAUCAUAGGAAAUAAUAAAAAAAUGUAAUAGAUAUAGUUGAGAAUAUCUUAUAUACUAGGAAAGGGAAAAUAUAUACAUGAUAACAAGUCAUCUAAGAUCAAAGAAAGAAUUCCUCAUUAUCACCUACAAUAUCCAUAGUAUGCCCCUCGAGCUAAAGAAGAUUUAGUAACUUGAAGUUUGUCCCUGUAGUGACAAAUCAUGCAAUGGAGAGAAAAGAUUGGUACGUAAACCAGCAAGUUAAUAACUUAUAUACCGAAUCCAAAUUAUAACAUUAGAGGCUUUCUUAUAAACAUUAUAGAAAUCAAUGUCCAAAUGCUUUGUCUAUAUGUCAAUUGAAGAAUUAGUGGUAAGAAAGGGAGUACUCAUAGAUAAUAGGAGAGGUAGAUGGUGAAAUAUCAAUAUUUUUUUAGAAUAUUGCAUAGUCAAAGAAGUUCAACAACAGUAGGGGAGAUUGCCAAAUAUUCAACUUUAAUACUUGAGCAUGAAACAAUUUAUUUCUUGCUAAAUGUCUAAGAAACUCAUAUACCAAUAUAGAAAAUAAGCAAACUUGUAGUUAAACACCUUCUAUCUGUACAUCUGACUUAAUCUGCGUCUAAAUAUGUUGAGUUGACACACAGUUGUAUAGAAAAAAUAAAAAGAUCAUGACUAAUAAUUCUUGUCACAUACUUGAGGAUACAUCUAGCAGCCUUGAGAUAAAUGGUAAUAGAGGCCUUCAUGAAUUCAUGAAUCGACAAAUAGAGUUCAUAGUAAAAGAAAUAUUAUGAAAGUAACUAAUAUACCAACAACAGUUAGUAUACCAAUUACUUUCAUUUUAAAAACAUAUCUUUAAGCACGUGGCAUGGAUUAUUAGUCACGGUCUUUUCAUCUCUCCUACAGAAAUGCGUGUCAUCUUAACAUAUUCAUAAACAAAUCAAGUUGGACAUCCAGGUACAAGGUGUUUAACUAUUUUUUUUCUUAUUCCCUGUGUUGGUAUACUAAGUUACUUGAGCAUGAAACAAUUUAUUUCUUGCAAUGUCCACGUAGUGGGGACAUUCAUGAAUUGACAUAGUUGACAUCAAAAUAGAUGUUAGGAUAUGUAAAAGCCAAGUAUUGUAAAGCACCAACAAGCAUACAAAAAUCAGUAGGUUAGGAAGAAUAUGACCUUUAGUACAAGAAUGUUUUCCCUCUAAAAUAGAUGUCGGAACCAGCAUACAAUUGAACAUGUCAUCAUGGCUAGCAAGUCCUUUACAAAUAUGGAUUGAUGCAAGUGCAAACCCGUGGAGGAUCAUACAAUUUGCAUAUCAAAGACUUAAGCCUUGUGAUGAGAGGCCUCUUCUCAAUUCUUUUUAUAUACAUUGGUUGUUGUUUUAUACUUAUUCGAUAUGAGAUAAAUUAUUAGAUAUUCCUUUUUAUUUCCAAUCUUUUUUGUUGGAAAAAAAACAAUGACAGAACAACGGAGGGAUCACUACUCACACAAUUUGGUGGAAUACAAUACGCUAAACAAUGGUACUCUCACACCUUUCAUUAUCAAAUCCAUACAAUAUAUAUAGACAUUAUAAAAUUUCUUUUACAAUCUUCAAUGUACUUAAUUAAUAUUAAACUUUUUAAUACUUACUCUAGAUUCAUAAUACUACUAAAUUCAUAGUAUUUCUAGAUUUAUAGUAUUUCUAAUGUGGAUGAUUAUUCAUUGAACUAACUUCAAUACACUUAAUCUUGAUAAACAAGUUUAAUGACUAACAUUCUCCCCUCUUAAACUUGUUUUGUCCAUCUUCAUGAUUCUAAGCUUCUUCUGCAAAUAACAGAACACAUCAGUCUUCAAUGGCUUUGUAAAAAUGUUUGCAAUUUGUUCAUGAGUUUUGACAUGAACUAACUCCACAUCGCCUUCUUUUAUGUGCUCUCUAAUGAAGUGAAAUCGAGUAUUGAUAUGUUUUGAACGUUUAUGAUUAACUGGAUUCUUUGCAAGUGCUAUAGUAGUCUUGUUAUCAACAAAGAUUCGUGUAGCCUUGCUCUAUUUCUGCUGCAAAUCUUCCAUAAGUUGCGUUAGCCAUAUUGCAUGACACACGAUGCAGCAACAAUGUAUUUUGCUUCACAUGUGGAUAAUGCAAUAAUAGAUUGUUUCUUUGAUGCGUGAAAGUUGUUUCUCUUAUAAGUAAUACAAAUCCAGCUGUGCUUUUUUCUGUCUUCCAAGCUUCCUGACCAGUCAUUGUCACUAUAACCUGUAAUUUCAAGAUUCUGCGAAGAUGAAUAAACAAUCCAUAGCUUGAAGUUCCUUUAACAAAACAAAGGAUCCUCUUUGUUGUCUUCAAAUGUGAACUUCUCGGCUUCUCCAUAUAUCCUCUAAUCAAGCCAACUCUAUACAAAAUAUCUGGUCUGGUACAUGUUAAAUAACGCAAGCAACUCACAAUACUUUUGUAGUAUGUAGGAUUAACUAAAUCUCCUUCUCCUUCUUUAGUUAACUUGGUUUCAUAUUCAACUGAAUUGUUGGCUGGACAACAAUCUUUCAUAGCAAAUUUUUUCAAAACUUCUGUUGCAUACUUGGUUUAUGAAAUGAAGAUUCCAUCACUGCAUUGCUUCACCUCUAAUCCCAUAAAAUAGGCUAUAAGACCUAAGUCCAUCAUUUCAAAUUCCUUCACCAUGGAUUGCUUGAAGUCUUGAAUCAUAGUUGGAUCAUCCCCUGUGAAAAGUAUAUCAUCAACAUAUAAACAAACAAACAUUACUCUACCUUGUAAACUUUUCUUCACAUAUAAUGCAUGCUCAUAAGGGCAUCUUGUGAAUACUUUCAGAGAAAGAUAGCCAUCAAUCCUGGAGUUCCAUGCUCUUUGUGCUUGUUUAAGUCCAUAAAGAGUUUUCUUCAAUCUGCAAACCUUCUCUUCUUCUCCUUUUAUCUCAAAGCCAACUGGUUGUUCUACAUACACUACCUUUUCAAGGUUACUGUUCAAGAAUGCUUACUUUACAUCCAUCUGAAAUAUCUUCCAUCUCCAGGGAAAUCAUCAAUCUUAAUGUUUCCAUUCUUGCUACUAGAGCAAAAACAUCUUUAUAAUCAACUCUAUAUUGUUGCUUGUACUUCUUCACUACUAAUCUGGCUUUAUGUUUUUCAAUUUCUCCUUCUACAUUCCUCUUUGUCUUGAAGAUCCAUUUUACUCCUAUUGCAUUGUGUCUUUUGGGAAGUGUUGUCAAUUCCCAUAUAUUAUUUUUUAUGAUGGAAUUUUUCUCCUUCAUUGUUUUCUUCCACCUGUCUUCUUGAUAUGCUUCUUCAAAUGUAAUAGGAUCAUUUCUUGAAAACAAGCAAAACAUAUUAACAUCAUCAAAAUUGAUUCUUUUUGUUACAUCAUAAAUAUCUUAUAUGUUCUUUGUCUUUCUUGUUGUUGAGCUUAAAGGACUAGCAGGACUGUUAGUUGAUGGGGAUGGAGCUAACAUGAUUUCUCCUUCAUCUUUCUGAAUUUGUUCUUCGUCUAUAAUUAGUUUUUGUGGCUGAUCUUCAAAAUUCCAGUUCCAUUCUUGCUCUUCAUCAAACUUCACAUCUCUUGACAUAAUCAUCUUUUUUGUCAUCGGAUUGUAUAAUUUGUAACAAUACGAGUUUUCUCUAUAUCCCAGCAGUAUGCAUUUCUGACUUUUAUCUUCAAGUUUAGUUCUUCUUUCCUCUUGAAUUUUGGCAUAAGCAACACUGCUAAAAAUUCUCAAAUGAUCAACUCUUGGUUUCUUCAUGCUUCAUGCUUCUUCUAGCGUGAUCUUUUAAAGUUUUUUUGUUGUAAAUCCAUUCAAUAAAUACACAGCACAUACAACUGUAUCUCCCCAAAACUCUUUUGGAUAAUUUUUUUUUCCUUUAGCAUACAUCUAACCAUAUUCAUAAUAGUUUUGUUUUUUCUCCCUGAUACUCCAUUCUGUUGUGAUUUUUGUGGCAUUGUGAGCCGAUGAACAAUACCAUUUUCCUUACAAUAAUCAUCAAAAUCAUGAGAAAUAUAUUCUCCUCCCCUAUCUAUUCUUAAGCAUUUUAGCUCACACUCACUUUGUUUUUCUACUAAAUUUUUAAACUCUUUAAAUUUACCCACCACUUAUUUCUUUUCUUUUUAACACAUAUACCCAUGUCUAUCCACUAAAAUCAUCAGUAAAAAUGAGAAAAUACAUGCUUCCUCCUAUUGAAGUAGGUGAAAUAGGACCACACAUAUCUGAAUACACCAAGUCAAGAGUUUGAGAUGCUCUUGAGCUCUUCUUUGGGAAUGGCUUUCUGUGCUGCUUUCCCAUUACACACACUUCACACAUUUUGCUUGUGUGCUCUAACUUUGGUAUUCCAAGAACCAUUUUGCUUUUCUCCAUCAGCAUAAGUGAUCCACAGUUCAAAUGUCCAUAUCGCAAAUGCCACAAAUUCAUAAUGUUAGAGAUUUCUGUCUUAAAACAUUUUGACAAAUAUAUGCUCAGAUCCAGAGGGAACAUCAUGUUUCUAGUCAUUUUUACUGAAGCAAUUGCAGCUCCAAACUUGUCAAAAAUCCUCAGAUUCUUAUCUUUCAUAUGCACUUCAAAGCCUUUCUCCAGAAACUACCCCAAACUCAGAAUGUUGUUCUUCAUGUCUAGAACAUAGAAAACUUCUGAUAUGAACUUCUGCCCACCAUUCUUAAGUUUAAUAAGAAUUCUGCCUCUUUCUUUAACUGGUCUUUGAGAAAGAUCUCCAAAUGUAAUGUUACCUUUAUAACUUUCAUUGAUAUCAACAAAUGCUUCCUUCAUACCACACAUAUGAUUUGAUGCUCAUGUAUCUAGAUACCAGGUGCUAGAGUUGCUGCCAUCAAAUUUUCCACAGGCCAACAAUAAUGCAGGCUCUUUAUAAUCAAUUUCUUUCUCAGCAAAGUUGACAUUCUUGUCUUCAAAUUUGUGUUGUGUGUCGCACGUGUGCGGCGGCGCGGCGAUCGUCCACCCUCAAGGAAAAAAAUUGGAAAUAUUUAUUCCUUAAAAAAAAGGAGAGACAAUGGAAUUCUUGUCUCUACAAGUGAAAAUAUGGACUGGGAGUCGCCACCUAGUAUUCUAGUUACUAGGAACCUUAACUGGUCUUUAGAGAUCGGGUACGGAGACUGGUUGCGUAAAGGGAAGGUAUUAGCACCCCAACUACGCCCUACCUAAGGUAGGCUGCAUUGUUUUAAUGUCUGAUAAAAUCUAAAAUCGUGUUGUGGUCUUUGAAUUGUUGGUUCGUUUACGGUUUAAGAAAAGUCCUACUGUAAGGAGAUCCUUAUCUUUAUCGGGUAAAAAACUAACUAUUCGAAGCCACCAAAAGAAAAUAUCUUUUUAAUAUCAGGAAUACGAUUUACAUAUAAAUUCAUAAUCCCUGAUACUAAAAUCAAACAAAAUAAAAUAUUUUGUUGUUUUUUGAGAUUUUGGCCAAUGUUCUCUUGACUUUAAUAAACUGGUUAUUAAAGCCAAAAUGCAUGCUAAAAUAUUGUUUUUUGACAUAUGAAAAAUACGAUAUGAUAUUUUAGAUUUGAGACACUUGGCCGUAUGCACAAAAAUGUUUUUUUUUAAUUUUUUUUGUAUUUUUGAAAGUUUGUGACAAAAAAAACCGGGUAUUUUAAUACUCGAUUUGUAUUUUUACGACAUAAAAAUACUACCCGAUAUUAAUAAAAAUAAAAAAUAGGAUCAUAAAUAUUUUUUAAAACAAUAAUAUUUUUUCCUUUUUUUCUUUUUUUUUUAAAUGGGCUGGAUCAGGCUCAAUUGCAUGGGUUGGGCCAAACCUGGCCCUUUUACAUGGGUUGGGCCGAACAUGGCCCAAAUGCAUGGGCUGGUUACUGUGCACAUAGUAACCGGGGUUACUGUGUGCACAGUAACCAGAGAAUUAAUUAGCGUGCAUAGUAACCGGGGUUACUGUGCACACAGUAACCCGUGAAUUAAUUAGCCAGUUACUGUGCACAGCACAGUAACUAGCUAAUUAAUCUUCAUCUGCUGCAGAACGUAAACGUUCUGCAUGCAGAUGAAGCCGAAGCCGAAGCAAAAAAAAUGACAGUGGAGAAAGUUACCUGGAACGGUGUUGAUGCUGGCAGCAGCUGAUGCGGCAGGGGUGGUGGUGGCGGUGUUGGUGGUUCGCGGUGGCCGGCGGUUUUCCUUCUCUCUCUCUCUCCUCUGUAUUUUUCUGUUUUCUUCUCUGCUUCUUCCUUUCUCUUCUCUUCCUUCUCUCCUACUUUCCUCUCUCUGUCUCUCCCUUCUCUUCUCUUCUAUUCCCUCUUUUGUUCUCCCUCUCUCGGUUUUUUCUCUCUUUUUUUUCAGCAGCCCUCCCCUGUAUUUAUAGGAAAACAGGGGAGGGAGAACGUGUUGGGGCGGCUACUGUUGGCCGCCCCCCUCCACUACCUUCAACAGAUAACAACGCCAGGCAAGUGGGUGAAUUGUGGGCGUCUUAUUGCGCCAAAGCCGGGAAAGAAAGUAGGCGAAAAGAAAAAAAAAUUCUUCUCCCCUGUUCUCUGCGCGUCCAGGGGAAGAAGACGAUGGUGCCGUUUCAAAACGGCACCGUUUUGAGCUUUCUCUGUUUUUUUUUUUUGUGGGGACCCAAAAAUGGGUUACAACAGUUGCCCCCCUCUUUACAAUGCUUACGGAGCAAAGAUUUGUGCAUAGUAAGUGUUCUAAAGAUAAAAUAAAAUUGGUUUCCGAAACUGGUCGUCUCAACAUUUGAUUGACUUAAAACUUCAACCGGACCCAAAGUCCUGUGUGUGGUUGGGCUAAACUGAGAUUCCUUUCGUCAAAUCCCCUCUAACCAGAACCAAAAUCCUAUGUGUUAGACUGAGAUUCCUGUCGGCAAUCCCCACUAACCAGAACCAAAAUCCUAUGUGUUCAAACCCUUUGUUUUUUUAAGAAAGAUGGUAUAUUUUCACGGGCGAGCUGCCCACACAUAUUUAAGGUGGUCUAUUUUCAGGGGCGACCAGCCCACACACUUACGCUGACAUUGGUCUAUUUUCAUGGGCGACCUGCCCAAACAUAAAAAUAAAGAGUGGUCUCAUUGUAAUGGGUGACCUACCCAGAUGGAAAAAAUGUGAAGAAUUGGAUGGCGAGGGCUUAAAGGCACACUCGAAAAGAGGUAGGGUUAGAAAAACGCACUACCAAAGGAGUUGAGGGCUCAAAGGCGCACUCAAAGGGAGGUAGGGUUAGAAACUGCACUACCCAAGGGAUGAGGGCUCAAAGGCGCACACAAAAUGGAGGUGAGGGCUCAAAGGCGCACUCAAAAGGAGUUGAGGGCUCAAGGGCGCACUCAAAAGGAGUUGAGGGCUCAAGGGCGCACUCAAAAGGAGUUGAGGGCUCAAGGGCGCACUCAAGAUGGAGUUGAGGGCUCAAAGGCGCACUCAAAAUGGAGGUAGGGUUAGAAAACGCACUACCUAAGGGAUGAGGGCUCAAAGGCGCACUCAAAAGGCGGUGAGGGCUCAAAGGCGCACUCAAAAGGAGGUAGGGUUAUAAAACGCACUACCCAAAAGUUGAUGUUGAAACAAUGAUUGUCAAUGUUGAAAAGCAAAUGCAUUAUGAUUGAUAUGCAUGUAUACUUACCUGAGAAAUAUAGGCCCCCAUUUCUUCAUGGUGUCUUUGUUUUCUCUCAAAAGUUGUAGUGUUGGUAGUAAACUUCGAUGGCUUUUCCACGUUUGCUUACUCGGGUUACACAUUGUGAUCUUGACCUCUGGGAAGGGUUUGAUGUCAUCAUACAUCUUUGUCCUUCACCCUUUAUCUCAAGAGUUGCCAAUUUUGCCCGACAUUUUCCUUAGAAAAGGAAUCAUGGAGCCAGCCCUACCAUGUGUUUUUGAUUGCCCCCCAGCUUGAUCAUGCCCCCCAAGUGUUCAACUUGGGUUUAGUUUGGGGUGAGGAUAUGUGAAAGUAAGUUUGGGUUUUUUGUACAAUGAAAUGUUUUCAUGCAAAAUUUUUGGAACUUCCAAGUUAUUCCAAUCACAAAAAUGAUUUUGAUAUUGGUUCAAAAUAAACUUGUUCUAAAAAAUUCAAGUGAUUCCUAUGGACAGGUUUCUUGAAGUGAUGAAAGCUUUUUGCUUUUGGUUUAAAGAUGAAGUGACAUCUGGUUGGUCACAAAAGGUUUAAAUUUCAAUUUGAGGGUUAUUGAGAACCGAAUUGAUUCAAAGCAUUUAUUUUAUUUGCAUGAAUAAUGAUUUGACUCGCACGAGAAAGCACUGCAUACCGAUCCAGAUUGCUUGCCUUUGAUCAGAAAGGGCUUUAUCAGGUAUGUAAUGUAGGCUUUGGCUAUUGGUUACGAAGAAAAUGGAUAUGUUGCAGGCUCAAAAAGUGUUUAAGGGAUUUCAAGACUAGGGAUCACUUGUGCUUGUUUCCUGACCUUUUGUCUUUUGGAUUUGUUUUUUUUUCAAAAUAGUCUUCAUGCCCCCCAGUGUCGGGUUUGGGCUUUUCUCUUUGUUUUCUUCGUUUUUGUUUGGUUGAGCACAAUCAUAUCAGUUGUUUGUAUGAGAAGCUCAAAUCUUUUAGAUCCUUUAGAUCUUCUUCUUUUCUUUUCUUAACCAAUCACUGCUUCAUUUAGAUGAUAAUGAAAGAUUAAAAAUUACAUGAUCAAAUCCAGCACCCAUCUUCACUGCUUUGUCUGGAUGGGUAAAAACUCUAUUAUUUUCCCCCCAGUGUGGGGUGUGAUCCUAGUCAAGGUUAUUUCCAAAAAACAUUACUAGGCUCAAAAUGGGACUGCAAGGAUAUUUUUAGCCUUGUGAAAGGAUUAUCAAAGAUGGCCUUUCCUCAUCUCAAACUCAUGCAUUGAGGAUCGAUAGGUCUUGCUUUCAUGCGCGUAUGCAAAUGAUUUAUUCAGUCAAAUAAAACUCAGCUUUUGAGUCACCUCAUAGUGUUGUUUGUCUUUGUUGUCUUUUUUUCUUUCAAGUUUUCUAGGUAUAUGUGUACCUAUUUAAGGAAUCACUUGAAUUUUCAAAAUGCAUUUGUUUUGGACAAAUAUCAACACGAUUUUUUUUUUUGUACUCACUUUGGAGGUCCCAAAAAAAUAUCCUUGAAAACAUAUGAGAUUAAUGUAUGGGUUUGGAAGAAAGGAAAACGAAAAGGAUUCUUCAUGUUGUAGUGUUGUGAGCAAAGUUGCGCUCAAAAUGUUAUUUACAUGUAAUAACAACAAAGAAGAGUGUGAUGUGAACACAAGAAAACACAUGAUCUUAUUUCACAAGAGAAGCUCAUUAACAGAGAAAGUCUUAUUCAAAAGCAUUAACAAAAGGCAAUAACAAGGCAGGCUUCAUUCCUCUAUUUUGGCGAAUCUGUUCAUAGGCUAACCUCCUCUCAAAAGCUCUGCGUAGAGGACUCAAAGACAAUGCGGAACAACACCACGGUCAAAAUUUGAGUUCUACAAAAUUCAAGCUAUCAUGCUGGACCAUUGAUGCUUUCCAAUUCCCCAAACAUUCCAUCCUAAUAUGCUUCAAGCAUGAUUAGGCAACGGGUUCGUAUUCACAUUGGGGGCAUCUUCCAAUUCUAUCCACCCAGCCUUGAUUAAUUGCAGAAGCUUUCUCUUGAAGGCGUUGCAGGUAUAGAUGCUAUGCCCAGUAAUACCGGCAUGGUAUUCACAAUUGAGUUCUGGCUUGUACCAAUUAGGAUAAGGUGGCUGCAGAGGUGUUAGAGGUUCUGGAGCUAUUUGCCCGAUGCUUAAUAGCUUUUGAUACAUCUCAUUCAGGGGUAACGGUAGUGGAGGUAGUUGUUCUUGAACCCUUUGGAAAUUUCCAAUUUGGCUUUUGGCUUGAAAGUUUUGGGGUUCAGGUUUUUUGAUGUUGGCAAUUUGGGAUGGAGUAUGGUAAUUUUGGGAUGUAUUUGUUUUACCCUUGUAGCCAUCUUCAACAUGGUGAACCUCUUUUCUUUCGACGCCUCUUUUCUCGGUUGGUGCAGCAAUUCUACCACUCUUGACACCUUGCUCUAUGCGUUCACACACUAUCACAGCAUCAGUGAAUUGUUGGGCUGAACUACCCAUCAUAUGUUCGUAAUAUGGUGCUUUGAGUGUUGGCAAAUAAAGAGACCAUCUCUUUGUCCAGAAGUGGGGGAUGUACUUGAGCAGCUAAUUCUCGCCAUCUUUGAGCAUAUUCCCUUAUGCUUUCUUUAUCCUUUUUCUCUAUAUUGGACAAACUGGUUCUGUCGGGCGCAAUGUCCAUGUUGUACUUGUAUUGCUUGACGAAAGCAUCCACAAGAUUUUUCCAGUUGCGAAUUUUUGUGUUAUCCAAUCUCAUGUACCAACUCAAAGUUGCCCCACUUAAACUGUCUUGGAAAAAGUGCAUUAGUAGUUUUUCAUCAUGUACUACCUCAGCCAUUUUAUUGCAGUAGGACCUGAGAUGAGUCAUGGGGCAUUGUGUUCCACUGUAUUUGAUGAAUUCAGGAACACGAAAUUUCUUUGGGACAACCACAUUUGGGACCAAACACAUCUCUGCUGCCCGACCGGGUCAUAUAAGUCUAUCCCUUCAAUGGCUUUAAGUCUGGCUUCCAGCGCCUCUAUCUUAGCUUGAUCAAUGCUAUCAGAUGACUUAGCCUUGUGGGACUCAUUAGCAGAUGCCUUCACGACUGUUGGGGAUGGUGCAGGUGUCGUUGACUGCACAAAUGUUGGAUUUUGCUGAGGUUCUUGACCAUGUUCGCUCAUUCUUUCCUCAGGCUGAACUGUAGUAGGAGCCGGAUCAAAGGUGAUCGGUUGAUUAGAAGGACCUUCAUCAGAGGUAUUUCUUAGUGUUUGCUUGAGUAAGCUAGUGAGGUGAGCCACACUUAUUUUCAGAGACUCCAACUCUCGUGCAAAUAGGCCUCACGUUGAGCACGCUCUUCAUCUUCCAUGUUUCUUGCUCGAAGUCGGGUGUUGUAGACUUUUUGGGGACCUAUAUUUCAAUCUGACAUGUAUGCAUGUUAAAUGUAUGAACAUGUAAUCUAUAUGACGAACUCGCCCUUCGAGGGGUGACAUAUGGUCAACUCUUGUAUGAUGAACAAGAAUCUUGAUUUUGCCCAAACUCUACAAUGAAAAUUUUCUGAGAGACGGCCAUUGUGUCACCCAAAGUCUGGAGUUCAAGAUGCUUCAAGAAGGGUUUGCCGAUGCAAAUAACGAUAGCACAUACAUCCUAAGGACAGGUUCUAUUCAUUAUGUGAACAUGGGUAGGUUUGCUAUUCUGGUCUCAAAAGGGUCUCUUGUUGUCCCAGUGAUCGCCCUCGUGGAGGCAAUAUGGGGGCUUGUAGGCAAUGAGAUGGCACGUGUACCAACUAUUACCAGUCUAAGCACUCAGCGAAGAGUUGGGGUUUACACAAACUUAAACCUUGACUAAAAGUCGUAAGGUAAGCUGCUAGUCCCCCCUAACUUGAAGCUUGUGUGUGCUUUAAAAAAAUUAACUAUGUGAUGCAUGAGAUAAAUAUGUAUAAAAAUUAAAGCGCACAACUAAAUAUGACAAAUAUAUAAGAAAUGCAUAUUUAAAAAUAAACACGCAAACCAACAACAAAAACACAACAUCAGACAAAACAAAGCUUAGUCCACAAGUCCCCAGUGGAGUCGCCAUUCUGUCGCACGUGUGCGGCGGCGCGCGAUCGUCCACCCUCAAGGAAAAAAUUGGAAAUAUUUAUUCCUAAAAAGGAGAGACAAGGAAUUCUUGUCUCUACAAGUGAAAAUAUGGACGGGAGUCGCCACCUAGUAUUCUGGUUACUAGGAACCUUAACUGGUCUUUAGAGAUCGGGUACGGAGACUGGUUGCGUAAAGGGAAGGUAUUAGCACCCCAACUACGCCCUACCUAAGGUAGGCUGCAUUGUUUUAAUGUCUGAUAAAAUCUAAAAUCGUGUUGUGGUCUUUGAAUUAUUGGUUCGUUUACGGUUUAAGAAAAGUCCUACUGUAAGGAGAUCCUUAUCUUUAUCGGGUAAAAAACUAACUAUUCGAAGCCUCCAAAAGAAAAUAUCUUUUUAAUAUCAGGAAUAUGAUUUACGUAUAAAUUCAUAAUCCCUGAUACUAAAAUCAAACAAAAUAAAAUAUUUUGUUGUUUUUUGAGAUUUUGGCCAAUGUUCUCUUGACUUUAAUAAACUGGUUAUUAAAGCCAAAAUGCAUGCUAAAAUAUUGGUUUUUGACAUAUGAAAAAUACGAUAUGAUAUUUUAGAUUUGAGACACUUGGUCGUAUGCACAAAAAUGUUUUUUUUUUAAUUUUUUUGUAUUUUUGAAAGUUUGUGACAAAAAAACCCGGGUAUUUUAAUACUCGAUUUGUAUUUUUACGACAUAAAAAUACUACCCGAUAUUAAUAAAAAUAACAUAAAUAAAAAAUGAGAACAUCAUAAAUAUUUUUUAAAACAAUAAUAUUUUUUCUUUUUUUUCUUUUUUUUUAAAUGGGCUGGGCCAAACCUGGCCCUUUUACAUGGGCUGGGCCGAACAUGGCCCAAAUGCAUGGGCUGGUUACUGUGCACAUAGUAACCGAGGUUACUGUGUGCACAGUAACCAGAGAAUUAAUUAGCGUGUAACCGGGUUACUGUGCACACAGUAACCCGUGAAUUAAUUAGCCAGUUACUGUGCACAGCACAGUAACUAGCUAAUUAAUCUUCAUCUGCUGCAGAACGUAAACGUUCUGCAUGCAGAUGAAGCCGAGGAGAAAGUUACCUGGAACGGUGUUGAUGCUGGCAGCAGCUGAUGCGGCAGGGGUGGUGGUGGCGGUGUUGGUGGUUCGCGGUGGCCGGCGGUUUUCCUUCUGUCUCUCUCUCCUCUGUAUUUUUCUGUUUUCUUCUCUGCUUCUUCCUUUCUCUUCUCUGCCUUCUCUCCUGCUUUCCUCUCUGUGUCUCUCCCUUCUCUUCUAUUAUAUUCCCUCUUCUGUUCUCCCUCUCUCGGUUUUUUCUCUUCUUUUUUUUUCAGCAGCCCUCCCCUGUAUUUAUAGGAAAACAGGGGAGGGAGAACGUGUUGGGGCGGCUACUGUUGGCCGCCCCCCUCCACUACCUUCAACAGAUAACAAAGCCAGGCAAGUAGGUGAAUUGUGGGCGUCUUAUUGCGCCAAAGCCGGGAAAGAAAGUAGGCGAAAAGAAAAAAAAAUUCUUCUCCCCUGUUCUCAGCGCGUCCAGGGGAAGAAGACAAUGCCGUUUCAAAACGGCACCGUUUUGAGCUUUCUCUGUUUUUUUUUUUUUGUGGGGACCCAAAAAUAGGUUACAAUAUUGUGAACAAUCUGAAACAAAAUGACCAUACUCUUUAUAAUUAUAACAUUGUACGUUUGCAUGAUUAUUACUCAAAUUUGAAUAUCCUCCAUGACUUCUGCCUCUGCUUCUACCAUAGCCUCUAAAAUUAAAAUUUUGUUUUCGUGCUCCAUGAGAUUCUUGAUUUCUGAAUGAUCUUUCUCCUCUUCCUCUUAUGUGAAUGAACCUUCCUCUUUGAAAUGCUCCUCUGCUAGAUUCCUUAACAUUCUUCACAGUUAACUUUAUCUGCAAUGUUUGUUCAAGAGAUCUUCCUUCUCCUCUUCUAUCAAUUUUAUGCUCAUGGGCUUGCAGAGACCUCAUUAAUUCUUCUACUGUCAGAUCUUCCAAAUUCUUUGAUUCUUCAAUUGCUACGACCACAUUAUUAAACUUUAAAUCUAAAGACCUUAAAAUUUUCUCCGUCACAAUUACAUCAUCAAUAUUUUCACCAUUCCUUCUCAUCUGGUGAACCAUAUAGAUUAAUUUUAUGAAGUAAUUUGAAACUGUCUCAUUACUUUCUUUACUCAACUUCUCAAAGUCUCCUCUCAAUGCUUGCAACCGUACCUUUUUUGUCUUUUCAACUCCUAUAAGUCUUGUUAAGCAUUUCCCAUGCCUCCUUUGAUGUUUUUGAUGGUGCCACCAUUUCAAGAGUUGCUUUAUAAAUGGUGAAUAACGCCUUAUUAUCCUUCUUUUUUUAUUCUCUCAACGUUUGUCUUUCUGCUCAUUGUUGCCUCUUCUCUUAUUGAUUCUGGUUCAGUGUAACCAUCUUCAAUUAACUCCCAUAACUCUUGUGAUCUUAGUAGUGCAUUGUAUUGAAUACACCACGUAUCAUAGUUUUGUUCAGUAAAAUAGAGAAUAUGAAAUUAAGAAAUGUUGUUGCUGGAAGCUUGUUGGAAAAAAAAACAAUGACAAAACAAAGGAGGGAUUACUGCUCACACAAUUUGGUGAAAUACAAUACAUUAAAUAAUGGUACUCUUACACUUUUCAUUAUCAAAUUCAUACAAUAUAUAUAGACAUUAUAAAAUAUCUUUCACAAUCUUCAAAAUACGUAAUUAAUAUUAGACUCUAUAGUACUUCCUCUAGAUUCAUAAUACUACUAAAUUCAUAAUAUUUUUAAUGUGGAUAAUUAUUCAUUGAACUAACUUCAAUAGACUUAAUCUUGAUAAACAAGUUUAAUAACUAACAUUUUUUUCAAUCAUAAACUGCCUAAAUCUGAGUGUAUGUGGGCGCACAAGCAUGGUUAAUUUAUUCAUCUUGUUAUUGCCUCUCCUCGGGGAGCUUGCUUGAGCUCAGGUUCUGCUUUGCCAUUAAUUAGUUCCCUGAAACACAAUAUUUAACAAACGAAAACGUUAGUAAAUCAAAUCAUUCGGGGGCAAAAAAGAAAAAAAAGAAGCCAAGAAAAUGCAGUUCAAGUUUCUAAUUAGUGAUAUUGUCAAUAUGAUAUCCUCCGAUCAUAAAAACAAAACAAAGGUAUUUGGAGAAUCACAAACCGCAAGAUUUGAGUCAGUACGGCGUCCCUCCGGGCAUCAUUCUCUGAUCUUGCUUUGAUAAUUUGAAACAUGAGGUCAAGCCUGACUUGAUUUGCAGCGCUCUGCUUGGAGAUUAUAUUAGUUUCCUCUUUCAGUUUGGCAGUCUCUUUGCUUAUUUCUUCAAAUUUCUCCCUCACUUCUUUUUGUCCAUCUCGUAUGCGUUCCUGGCCCUCGUUGAUCUCCGCCAUGUCAGCUCUGAUCCUCUUGAUACUCCUGGUUAGUUUGGUGUCCCUUAGUUUUCUUUUCUGCGGACAAUAACAUUGAGGAAUAUUGAAUGUUAGAAAGCUAGCAUAACAGUGUUGUCUUUGGUUACUAGUUUCCUAGGACAACAGCGAUCUCUAAGUUGUAUUUGGCUAGUUUUCUAUCGUAGAGAGAGAGAGAGAGAGAAAAACACUUGUUGGGUCGAAGAAGAAGAAGAAGAAAUAAAUAUAUUUUUAAAAUAGUUUUUGAAUCAGUUUUUAUUUUUUUUCAAAACAAGAAGGAAAUAAAAAGAAACAUGACAUUUGUAUUUUUAAUAUUUUUAUCUGUAAAUACAUCUACAGUGCAUAUCCUUUUAGCAAAAAUGCUGAGAACAAUUACAAGCAAAGAAUAGUAUUGGGAGGUAAUGUAAUGUUAUUGGAAUAAUAAUAAAAAAAAAAAACAAUUCACUUAUAAUAGGGUAUGGUAUAUAAAACAAUCUUAAAAAAAAUAUUUUUAAAAAAAAUAAAAUUUUUAUAAAAAACUAUGCGGUACCACGUUACCAAAAUACACAAGAAGUAUGUAACAGACCGUGCUUCGAGUUGCGCGGCGGCCAUUCCUUGUCUGCAUGGUGCUACUCAACUGAGGGUAGCUUUAUGUGGCUUGCUAAAGAACUAAAUUCGUUAUAUAUAGGAACCCCGCCUCUAAAAAGACGCGAUCUGGAACGCGAGAGGAAAUUGCGGUCGAUUUUCCAAUUUCCUUCCUUGGACCGAUCUAACGCGUGUCCGUAGGGUUAUUGAAAGGUUCUCAGUCAUCAAUGUAUUUUGAAAAUUUAAAAAGCCUUUAGAGUCCGUUUGGCUAAGAAUUUGUGGCUGCGUUUAGCAUGUAAUAGUAACAACAUGGUGUUUGGUUAAGAAAUGAGCCGUGAUUUUUAUACAUGGGCCCUACCAUUAUGUGCGUUGAAAACACGAUUUUGCUGAAGAAGAAUUUACAUGCUUUCUGUCGCGUUUUUCCUCUCUGCACUAUGCUUUUGCACAUCACGCUAACUAAUUGGCAGAAACAGUGCAGCAAGCCAAUUAUUUUGCGUGAAUAGUGCAGCAUGCUGCACUGUUUGCGUCUACAGUGCAGCAUGCUGCACUGUUGAGGCUAAUUAAUUUACAUGGAGAGUGCAGCAUGAUGCACUGUUCGGGUUAAUAGUGUAGCGUGCUGUAUUAUUCUGGGCAGGUUCCGAUCUAAAACUUAAAAUAUAUUAAAAUAGAUUCGAUCCAGUAAAAUAAAAAUUAUUUUUUAUUAUUUUAAUUGUAUUUUAUUUGAAAAAUUAGUAUUUAAUAUUAUUCAAUAAAACUACAUAAAUUAGACAAAGAACAUUUGAUGACGUAGCAUUUGCAGAAUUAUAGAUAUUUUAAUGGAAUAAUAAAAAAUAUUUUAUAUAAAGUAUUAUUUAUUUUAUGAUGUAAUAUCAAUAAUUAAAUCUACAAUAUUUAAAUUAAAAACUAUCAAUAUUAAUAUAUAUAUUUUUUUAAAUUAUUUUAUAACCUCAAUUUCAAAAGCAUUCUUAACCAAACACAUUAAAUUACUUUUUGUUCAACUUCAAUUUCAACCACAGUUUUAACCAAACACUUAUUUUUUCAAAUCAACUUCAACUAAAAAUAUUUUUUAUAAAAUAACUUUUUUCAAACCACAACCACAAUAGCUACCGCAAUACCAAACAGACUCUCAGUCUUACAACGUAGCAGUAGCAGCAGCAGCAUAAGCACGUCAGGCCAGCACCAAGCGCAGAUAUAAAAUCAACUAAAUUCGGGUUGAAACACUAAAAAUUCUAAAAUUUUAUUUUAUUUAUGAAAUCACAAUCCAGUCAAGUCUACCUAAUAUGUUUUUAUAGGAUAGAAAAACCGACUAGACUAAAAACAAAAUUAGAUUCCUAACACGAACAAAAUUAACAUAAAAUCUAUAAAAAAAAAUUAAUUCUGAAAAUAACUAAAAAAUAUAAUAAAAUUGAUCCAAACCAGCAACUUUUAGGUCUAAUCUUAAAGAUAUUUAAUAGUACCAUGAGCAACAUAUUAAUAUCAACAGAUAUCAAGAAACUAAGGCUCGCGGUUUGUUUUGCAACUUGUUUGUGGUGCAGGUCCAGUAAAAUAUUCGGUAACAUAUCAAACUCUAUUUUAUCCUACACUUUAUUUAAAAAUUAAAUUUAAAAUAUAAUUUUUGUAAAGCAUUUUUUAUAUAUUUUUUAACUAAAUUUUAUAAAAUUUUGUCUAUUUUUACGUUUCAAAAGUCUUUUUAAAAAAUUUUAAAUUUAAAUUUUUAUUUUAUUUUUUUACUUUAAAUUAAUAUUUUUUUAUAUUUUCAUAUUAUUUUGAUAUGCUAAUAUUAAAAAUAAUUUUUUAAAAAUAAAAAAAUAUUUCUAUAUAUUUUAAAGUAAAAAACACUUUAAAAAACAUCUACAACCAUCCUUUUAAUUUUACUAUAAACAAAUUUCAAUUAUAAUUUUUAUCAAACAAAUAUCUAAAUCUAACUAUCAUAAAAAUUGUCCCAAAAACAAACACGCUCACACAAUUUAACUAAGGUCUGUUUGUACACACAGCAUAUUUGGAGUAAAUGGUUUGGAAAACCCUUAUAGACGCCUGUUGCUAUAUUAUUGACGCCCGAUCUAUUGUCAAAAUCACACGCGUUCGUGCGUUGCAUUGCACUAGCAGCUCUCAAUUGUUUUUUAAUUUUUUCUUAAGAACUUUCCGAUGAAUCCAACAGCUUUCUUAACUGGGUGUCAUGAGAUUGUCGUCAUGAUGUGAAUUUAUUUAAAAUUGAUAGCAGAGGUGCGAUUUUCCGAGAAAAUGAUAUAUAAUUUUCUUUGUGUAGAAAUAUAUUAAACUAUUGGAAUGUUUGCAUUAUUGCAUGAAACUAUUUCGUACGGUCCAAAAAACGAAACAACUCGCCAUCCCAUCCUUCUGUAGCAAGACUUAGUAAUAAUUGUAAUUUCGGUACAAUGUAAUUAUAAAAAUAUAUAUAAUAUUGUCAAACAUGAUAUAAUAGCUAUCGUCUAGGACAAUAGCCCCUAAUAAUUAGUCUUUGGUUUUGCGCACUCAUGUUUUGUGUCACAAACAUGGUAUUUUUUUAAAUAUAAAUCUCAAACCCGUUAAUAAGUUCGAUGGAUGAAUAAUUGGGUCAAACUUAUAUACAUUUCAUAUUUAUUAUUUAUCAAUCUCUUUUAGUAAAACAAAAAAAAUAUAAAUGUUUAUUGAACUAGUAAAUGAAUUGGCAGUUGAAGCAACGAUCUGCUCCAUAUCACCAAAAAGCUAUUAGAGCCAAAUAAUUUCUUGGUUAGUGCCAACAAGGGAACGAUACUCGGUCCAAGUGCUAUAGUAAGCAACACAAGUCUGCUAUUCACCAUCCCAGUAAAUACGUCUGCAGUAUCUAGCAUUAUGGUCGGAAAGUUAUUUUUAAAAAAUUUAUUUAUUUUUGUUUUAAUUUAAUAUAUUUUUUAUGUUUUCGAUCAUUUUAAUGUGCUGGUAUUAAAAAUAAUUUUUUAAAAAUAAAAAAAAUAUAUUAUUUUAAUGUAUUUUAGAAUAAAAUGCACUUUGAAAAGUAACCGCUACCAUAAUUCUAAACACCCAAUCUUCUGACAAAACACAAAAACCAAUGGUUGAUCAUCUGGCGUGUUUGGAAUUAUAAUUGCGGUUGUGGUUUAAAGUAUUUUAUACUUAGAAAUGAAUCAAAAUAAUUUUUUUUUUUAAAUAAUUUUAAAAUCAGCAUAUCAAAAAAUAUGAAAAUAUAAAAAAAUUAAUUUUUAAUAAUAAAAAAAUUUAAAAUUAUUUAGAAACACGGAUUGGAUCGUAUUUCUAAAAAAUCCCACCAAUACAUGUAAAAACAUUCAACUCAUUAGAAAAUAAAUUCCAUGGAAAAGAGCAGUUUUGACAUAGUGUGUAAGUUACAUUUCCAAUAUGGAAAAAUUAUUUUCGUCAAAUAAUUGAGUUUGAUCAAACUUUUUAUGGAUGUAGUGUUUGGUGCUUUAAAAUACUUUUUAUUUAAAAUUAUAUUAAAAUAAUAUUUUUUUUAAUUUAUAAAAUUUAUUUUUUAUAUCAUUGCAUCAAAAUAAUUUAAAAAUAUAUUAAUUUAAAAAAAUAAUAAAAAAAUAUUUUUUUAUAAAUAAAAAAUAUUGUUUUUUUAUAAAUAAAAAAUAUUUUAUUAAAGGCAUGAUCGGUGCGUUUCCAUGAUGCUUUCGUGCUAGUUGGCAUAUGAUAACAUCGUGCGAUAUCACUCCACGACAAGACGUAAACGAAAGAAAUCGCGCGACCAUCGUGUAGGUCGCCCGAAUUGUCUUCUCCAACGACCUCAUUCAUGGAAGACGAACAAGCAAGACGUGUAUUUUUAGACGUGGGGAGUCAGAUCUAUCCCUUUAUAUAGUCUAAAACCCACAAACCUUCCAACGAAUAAUUAAAAAAAAAGAUUGCUGAAAAAAAGAUUAUGCCCCGCGCACAGACUUUGGCAUCAAAUCGGUCUUUUUAUACUUGAAAUGACCCUUUCUUCUAGAGUGGUGGCCCUACAUAGGAAAUGCCAUCGCUAAACAUCGGACACAACACGUAGUGGGGACCGCAAUUAUUCAUAAAUUAUGGCGUGAGGCGCGAGCACUAGAAUUGUGUGGAUCCAUGCACUGACUGACUGCCCUUUGGAUAUCUUUGAACCAUUAUUUUUGUGAUAAAGAGAUACCUCUCCCUCGCGGGUCCAGUCCUGCUCAGCUACACGUCAUGUGCAUAUUAUAAAGUAUGACAACAACGUUCGACAGCAUCGCAUUAUUGUUUCGUACUCUAUGGGGAGUGUAGUUUUAACUAUUUUCCCGACCAAAUUCUGUACAUGAGAGAUGAACUUCUACAAAAAAGGAAGAAUAUUAGAGGAAAUGAAAAGGAAAUCUGUAUGGAGGUGAACACUAACAAUCAAGGCCCGAAUCAAGCAUGGAUAUGAGUUUUCGCAUCUCUUUCUGGGCAGCAUCAAACCCCCACAAUUUCGAAUCUUGUCGUCAAUAACUCAAGUGACUAGCCUCUCCUAGCAUCCCAACCUCUAUACAUAUCAUAUACAUAUACAUAUACAUAUACAUAUACAUAUACAUAUACAUAUACAUAAAGGAUGAUCUUACAUGGAAAAAACUACAAAAGUUUCAUGUUUUAUAGUCUAUCUAUAAAAAUUAUAUUUUUUUCACGAGUAGGAUGAUCUUAAUUCGGUCCCUUUCUACUAUUUGCUUCAACAUUAUAGUCUAUCUAUCAAAAUUAUUUCCAUAUACUUUGUCAAUAAAUUAUAUAUUUUUUUAUACUGGCCUUGUAGAAUAAUCCACAACACUAACUCUCUAACACACGAAAACUGGGUUUUUCUUCUAUUUUGUAUAUUAAAAACAUGGAUAAGGGAGAUCAUAUAAUGAGUUAAUAAUAAUUUUUAUAAGUAGAUAGAAAAUAACUAGCUCUGAAGUUAAAUAUAAUUGCAACAAUGCCCCAAUUUCUAUUCGUAAUAUUUCAAGUCAAUAAAUUGUUUAUGCUUAUCAUCCCGGAAGAAUUUAUGGAUGACAACGACUCAUCAGUGGGGUUUUUCAAGGAGCAAAUGUGCAAUCCGAUACAAUGGUAUACGGAUAUCAAAAAAGAUGGUUGUUUAUCCGGAAAGGAAAAAAUAUAUAUUAUUAAAAAAUAUAUCAAAAAAGUUUGGUUCUAAAUUCAUCCCGUUUCUCAGGAGCGGGGUAAGGUCAUGACUCAUGAUCCGCUAGUGAUUUGUGGGACAAUUUCCACAAUUGACGUGUCAUCAGUGGUGACGUCUUUCAGCCGUUUAUUCAUUGACUGACCGUUAGAUGUAGAAGAUAACCAAAUAAAACAAAAAGGUAAUUUCCAAGCUGUCGAUAAUCGGACUCUGAGCAGGGCAACCAGAGAUCGAAUAUCCGUUUAUUAUAUUUGUAUUUUAAAAAUAUUUUUAAAAAAAAUUAAAUUUUUUAUUUUUUAUUUUAAAUUAAUAUUUUUUAAUAUUUUUAAAUCAUUUUAAUAUGCUGAUAUUAAAAAUAAUUUUAAAAAAAUAAAAAAAAAUUUAAUAUAUUUUCAAGUAAAAAAUACUUAAACAAACAAACACAACUGAAUUUUUAUAUAUGCUCUAACUAUAAAGGGCCAAGAUGCGUGCUCUGCCAAAUUCUAUACAUGGAAUGAGAAAACUUCCAUAUUGUUCAGGAUUUUUAAAAUUUUAAAUUUUAAAUUUUUAGAUAGUUUUAAUGUAUUUAUAUUAAAAAUAAAAUUUAAAAAAUAAUAAAAAAAAAUUUAAUAUAUUUUCAGUAAAAAAUACUUUAAAAAAUAACUUCUAUCAUUAUCAUAAUAUAAAAAAUCUCAUCUUUUUUUUUUUUAGAAUUAUAAAGGAUCUCAUCUAAUUAAAUAUGAACUUAUAAAACCUCUUGUUCAUCGAUAAAUAUAAAAUUCUAAUCCAAAAACAUAAUUUUGUACUUUAAGCAGGGCAACCAGAGCAAUCCUUAUUGAUAAUUUUCAAUCCUGCAUGUAUGCUUCAUCGGAGGCAAGCCUUCAUUUGAGGUCCAAGUAGUUUUUUAUCAUGAUAAAUUUUAUUAAAUAAAAUAUUAUCUAUUUAUCAAACAAAGUUAACGUAAGGAGAUCUUAUAAAAAAAAUACAUAAAUUAAUUUAGAUAACUAUUUAAAAAAUAAUUAAGUUAAUAUAUUAUUUAUUUAUAAAUUCAUUAAAUCAAAGGAUACUCCACAAAUCUCCAUACCCGAAUAAAUCAAGUAUUUGUUUACCUAACAGCAACUCCGAGACCCAUGAAGAUAAAAGUCCCUCCACACCCACCAUUUAAAUAAAUGGCAGCAGGUUUUCAUGUAGAACGGUACAAUUACCAUCUCUAUUUAUUAUCAUUUUACCAAUAAUAUUUUCACAUAUUAAAUAAUAUCUUGUGAAUUUUGGAUAUUGGAUUUAUCCGCACGCUUUGUGAAAUCAACCAUUCAAAUUAAUACUAGUGUAUAUACAAUAAAAUAUUUUGAGACCGAUUGAUCUGUUUUUCUAUUAAUAAUAAUAAAAAAUCCAGUUAACAUAAAAAUCUCAUUAAAUCCUGAUUGCUUAAGAGCUUACUUCAUCAAAUAAUUUGCUGAAUUAUUGUUUUUUAGGAGCUGAACACCUUUUACCCUAUAUUAUUAUUAUUAUUAUUAUUAUUAUUAUUAUUAUUAUUAUUUUCAAUUAAAGCAAAAUGUCAACAUUUUCAUAGAUUAUUAUUUGAUCCUAUAUUAUUUUUUAUAUGGAUAGAGUCAAUCUACUCGUCAUUUUGUUUUGUUAUAUUCUUUAAUUAUAACAUGGUUAGUUUGCGUGUUAAUGAGGGCAAGAUAUCCUCUUGAAUAUGCAACACGUCAUAUUUGGGACUCCAGCAGAGAAACUCGAUCAAUACUAAGAAGAGUAUGAGGCCUCGAUCGUUUAAAACAAUUUAAAGAAUAUAUGGAUCAAACUUUUUUUUUUUCUUCGUACUUUGUGCAUUAAUUUUUUUUUUUAACCUCACCCUAAAUGCAUGAAACGUGUCAUGCAUUGGAGCUCAUCAUCAUUACUUUUUCUUUUUCUUUUUAACCUUUCAUGUUAUUAUCUUUUUUAAAGAAAAACCUCAUUCAUGAAACACAUCAUAUGCGGGAUCCCAUGGCGGUAAAAUUGAGAAGAGUUUUUAUUUUAAUUGUUAUAAUAAAGUAAAAAUAAAAUAAUAUGUACAUAGCAUGCAAUUAAUAAAACUUGCCUUAUAUUCUUUUUUUUAUUUAUUAUUAUUGACUGAAUCCUUUUAAAUUAUGUCACGUUAGCUCACAAACUAAUAUUAUAAUAGAAGAGCGGUGACAAAACAAAAUGAAAAACAGAGUUACAGAAGUACUUGAUCAAUACAAAAGAAAAACAUACAAGGUUUUAAUUAAAGAAUUUAAAAGCACAAUGACCAAAUAAUAGGCAAAACCCCAUAUGUAAAUACACAAACACAGCAUACAUAUAAUUAUAGCGAUUGCUUUAUUUAUUACAAGGUCGAAAAUCAAAGGAUAACUACAAGCAAAGUUGAAAAUAAACUCCCUAAAAAUCUUAAAUGAAGUUUUUUUUUUUAAAAAAAAACAUAAUAUAGCCUUUUGAAUAAAAUUAGACCGCUUCUUUCCGUCACGAUUGGGCAUGCAGCCUCCGUUUGCUGGUUUUCCUUUAACAGGUGCUGCUGUUAUUUCAUUGAUCCACUGUCAACAAAUGGAAAGGCGACACAAACUAAUAUUAGACCACAAUAUAAUAUUAUAGACACCCUUAACUUCUGCAUGUGAAUGUAUAAUUUGAAGUUCUUGAAAGAAAUAUGGAUGGCAUACGAUGGUUUCACGUUGUAGUGGUUUUACUUGUAUAUAAAAUGGAAUAAACGAACUAUACAGGAGAAGGAAUUUAGACCAACCGGAGAGAGCCUGUCGGAUCGGAAACUUUCGCAAAGCCAUCCUCUUGUCGUGCCUUCAAGAUAUCAAGCAUGAUAUUGAGACGAAGUUGCACGUUGUCGCUCGCGUGAGAUACACCUUCUGUCUCUUUUUUGAGUUGCUCACAUUCUGAAUCUAUCUCCUCAAACCUUUCUCUCAUUUCCUUUUGCCCUUGUUUGAUCUCUUCAUGUUGCUUGCUUAUCUCUGCCAUCUCCGCUUGCAGCUUGUUUAUUCUUCUGUUGAUUCUAGUACUAUUCUGCCAACAUAUAUAACCAAUAACACAACGUAAGAAAAUCUAUGUCAGUUACGAAGAAUUACGAAAACAAAAACUUGAUACGUACCUCAGGAUUUUCAUGAGAAUGCAUCGUUCUAAAUGACUUCUGGUGAUAUUUGGUUGAUCCCAUUAUUUGUCCUACAGUGAUCUUCGUCCUAAUCUCUGCACAAACACGACACCCAAUCUAAAUCAUGCAACAAGAGACCUUUGAAGUUAAUUCUCUAUAUUAUGAGGACUUGGGUGAUCAGAGCACUCCCUCCUCCAAUUCAAUUUAUACAUAAAGAGAACACGCAUGAUCCCUCUCGAUCUAUUUGUUGCGUGACGAUUGUUUGAUAUACAAUCGAAGGUCCCAUGCUGCAACAGCAUGUUCUGCAGCCAUUCGACCGAUCGAUGAGUUUUGGUGUCGCGCGACUUCGCACGAUUCCUUCAAUUUGUUUGUUUGUUUUUUGUUUUUUUUUUCCUCUUCCUUUAUACAUAAAGAGAACACGCGUGAUCCCUCUCGAUCUAUUUGUUGCGUGACGAUUGUUUGAUAUAAAAUCGAAGGUCCCAUGUUGUAACAGUAUGUUCUGCAGCCAUUCGACCGAUCGAUGAGUUUUGGUGUCGCGCGACUUCGCAAAACAAUCGUGGUGUGCCUCGCUUUUCUCGAACGCGUCUUUUAUAUAGCGAAGAAAAACUCGACCAAUCGAAUGCUUACACGCAAAAGAAAAGAAAAGAAAAUGUCACAGAUCAAUUAUUAGAUGACAUUACUGUGUGAUGCCGCGGAUUUGUUGUAUACUUUGUGUUAUCACGGGUUUGUGAAAAAAUUAAUAAAAAAAAUUAUAUGAAAAAAUUGUUCAAUUCAUAAUAUUUUCUAAAAAAAAACUACAAAGUUAAAUUCUCAACCAGUUUAAAAUUAAAAAAAUAAAAUCAACAAAGAUAAUUUUAGAAAAAAUCAUAAAAAAAAGAGAAAAAAACCAAGCAGAAAAACACUAUAACGAUCUAUAGUGUUUUAUGGGGAAAUCUAAAAUUGUAAUUCUUAUCCAGCGAUAUUAAAAAUAAUAAAAUUUAAAAAGAUAAUUUUGAAAAAAAUUAUAAAAAAAAAAUGAAAAGGAACACCAUAGCAAUCCACAGUGUUUUAAAGAAAAAAACUACGAAGCUAAAUUUGCAACCAGCUCAAUAUGAAAAAAUAAAAUCAACAAAGACAAUUUUAAAAAAAAAAAUCAUAAAAAAAAAACAUGUGGGGAACCACUAUAGUAAUCCACAGUGUUUGAAAAGAAAAAACUACAAAGUUAAAUUCUCAACCACCUCAAUAUUAAAAAAAAUAAAAUCAACAAAAAUAAUUCUGAAAAAAAAACAAAAAAAAUGAAAAAAGAAGAAGAAGACAAUUUUUGGGAAAAAAGCAAAAAGAAAAAGAACAUGUGGGGAAAGUUAAAGCAAAAUUCUUAAUCAAUUCAAUAUUAAAAUUCUUUUAGAAAAACACUGUAGCAAUCUAUAGUGUUUUGUGAGGAAAUAUACAAUUGUAAUUCUCAACCAGCUCAAUAUUAAAAAAUUAAAAUUAACAAAGAUAAUUUUGAAAAAUAUCACAAAAAAAAAAACAAAACAAAAAAAAAACCAUGCUGGAAAACACUGUAGCAAUCUAUAGUGUUUCAUGAGAAAAUUCACGGUUGUAAUUUUCAACCGACUCAAUAUUAAAAACAAUAAAAUUGAUAAAGACAAUUUAAAAAAAAAUCAUAACAAAAAAAAUCAUAUGGAAAAACAUCGUAGCAAUCAACGGUGUUUUUUUAAAAAAACUACAAAGCUAAUUUUCAACCAGCUCAGUAUGAAAAAAAAAAUUCAAUAAAGAUAAUUUGAAAAAUGCAAUGGACACAAUAUAGCAUCCAAAGUUUUAACAAAGAAAAAAAAACGUUAAAAAACAAAUCAUAAAAACCAUGCAAUGGAACAUUAAAGCAAUUCACAAUGUUUUAAAGAAAAAAAAAACUACAAAGCUAAAUUCUCAACCAGUUCAAUAUGAAAAAAAUAAAAUCGACAAAAACAAUUUUGAAAACAAAAACAAAAACAAAAACAAAAAUAAAAAUUUUGGAAAAAAAAACUUAUAGGAAAAACAAAAGCUAAAUUCUCAACUAGCUCAAUAUUGAAAAAAUAAUUUCGACAAAGAUAAUUUUAAAAAACAAACAUGUAGAGAAAUACUGCAGUAAAAUAAAAACUAUGUAGAGAAAACACCAUAACAAUGGUGAAUUCAUUGUUUAUCACUUAAUAAAACACGGGUUGGAUCGUGUUUCCAAACAGUCCUAACUAGUUAAGUGCGGUUGACUCACUUCCUAACACAAAAGAAUUAAUAUAAAAAACUAAAAACAUUAUAAAAAAAUCUUUUAAAAGUGGUGAAUUCAUUGUGUGUCACUUAAUAAAAUAUUAUACAUUACCAGUGUUUUAUGAUUUUUUAUCUUUUAAUAUUUUUUUGGUUAUUGAUUUAUUUUACUUGUAUUAAUAGGAAAUUGAGUUUAAUAAUUUAUUUUUUAUAAGGAUAUUAUGAUCUAAAUUUUUUUAUAUAUAUUUUAUUGAUGCUCAAUUUUAAAUAUAAAAAAUUGAUUUUAUUACUUAAAAAAUAUUGAAAAUGUAAGGAUCUAAUUUGACAAUAAGACUAAAACUGGAGAAUAAGUUUUUGUUAUGGUUCAUAACGCGCCUUUUUAGGACUUUUUGCCCUCAAAACUUUUUUGCUUUCUUUUUUUAUCUUUUUGUUUAAAAUUUGUAUAUUUUGAUAAAUACUUUAUUUUUUUAUAUAUUUCAAUCCUUAUAUUUAAAAAAUGAAAUAGACAGUCAUUGAAAAAUUAAAUCUCGUCCGAAAUUAAAAAACAAUUCCCUCCAAAAUUUAUCAAAAUUACUAACAGAAUUAUAUAUGUUAGAAACUACUUCAAUAAAUUCAAAUGAUUGAAAAAUUUGUUCCAUCAUAAAAAAAACUUCGCUCCUGAGACAAAAUGUCAAAUGAUGGAAUAUGAUGUAACAAAUGUGCACCAUUGAUUGAACGGUUAAAUUUAACUGAUAACAUGUUUUCUCAUGAGGAAAACAACCCUAAUUUAGAAUAAUAUUUUCCGAGGAAUAUGUUUUCCUAGAAAAUAAGCUAUUUUUUAAUGCUUGAUUAUUUUAAUUUAAAAUCAUUUAUUGGUGUUUGGUAUGUAUGAGAAAAUAAAAUAAAAGUUCAAAAUGAGAAAACAUGUUGUCGACGCCUCGAGCCAAAAACUUUUUGCUAGAAAUUGAUUUUAGUGGGGCCAUCUAUUUCUCGACAAACUCCGUGUUUUAUGCAAGAACUAAAUAUAUCGAGUGAUUUUUAUUUUGUCCGUCAUUUAGUAAAAAAACAAAAAAAACAAUUCAAAGUGCAGUUCGAUCAUCACAUGAUCAAGUGGCUGCUGCUCUAACCAUGCCUUUUAAGUAGAUUUGAGUUUCUAAGAGCAUUCUUAACGAGAAAUGCUAUAUUAAAGAGUUAAAUAGAUAAAAUAAUUUUUUAAAUAGUAUAAAUAUAGUUUUUUUAAUUAUAUACAUUUCAAUGAUAAAAAGUUAUUAGAAAAAUAAUUAUAUUUUAAUAUAUUUCAUGUUAAAUCAUAUGUUAUUAAUAUAAUUAUAUAACUAAUUUAAAUAUUUUAUAUAUAGUAUAAUUAUGGUGUUAUUAAUUAUAUAAUUAAUAUGAGUAAUUUAUAAAAAUAAUAUAAAAUUAAUGAAAUAAUAUGAAAGUUAAAAGAUAUAAUUUAAAUUAAAUUUAAAAUUUAUUUAUAUGAAUAUUUUUAUUUUUCAAUUUUAUAUGUUACUAUUAAAAUUUUAAUUUUUGCCAAUGGUUAUUUGCUUUUGUCAUUUCUUUAGGGAAAUGUAGAAAUGGCUCUUCACAGGAUAAAUAACUAAAAUAGCUAUAUGUUUAUCUCAUGUGUUGGAGUGAAGAAAUGAAAAAAUAAAAACUAAAAAUAUAAUUUUUAACAUUUAGCUUUUUAUUUAACUCUCUUGUUGAAAAUGUUCUAAGAGACAAACUCUAGACUCUAGAGCAAGAAUCAUUCACUUGAAGGAUAUUAGAGCAAUGACCGGUUAAAGUACUAAAUGCUGAAUUUGUAUGUGUAUUUUUUGUAGGAUACAUAAGACUAUUGUAAACUAAGUAACCAAUGUUCAUUUCCAAAAGAAUAAGCCACCAAUCUAGUUGUCUAAUGUGGAGUAUAUCUUUAUCCAAAAUCUAAGAUAAUUUAAUUAUUUUUAUACUAUGGAGUGCAUGUGUGGGUUGAGCCAUGCAUGCCUGCUACCCAACUAGGUUAGUAACUUGGGGUUUUUGACUAGGUUGGACCUACUAAGUCCAGCCCAGUUCAUGUUGGUUAGACUCGACCAUGUCCUAAAAAAAAAGAGAGAGUAGGUUGGAUCUAAGCUUUAAGUAGCAAUGCAACUUACCUCAGGUAAGAUGUUUAGGAGGUGAUAACAUCUUUUUUUUUACGUAACUAGUCUCAUACCAUAGAAUUUUUAUUGAUCAGUUAAGGUUCCUAGUGACAAUAAUAUUAGGCGAUUCCUUAAACAAGAUAUUUUUCUCUAAAAAAACAAGAUGUCAGAUAUCUUUUUUUUUUUAAUCAAGUGAUUUAUUUUUAACGGGUCGUCACGAUGUCCAAAUGUUAUGGUAAGUAUAAAGCUAAUAGAAACAUAUCUCGUAUAGCGUAGUUAUAUGAUUGAUUGUUUUGUUAUGAGAUUAAGAAAAAAUAAUAAGUAAAGCAAAUAUAAAUGUAAUGUGUUUAACAUUAGCUGGGAGUGACGAGAAAAAAAAAUAUAACAAAAGGAUGAUUGGCUAAUUGGUUUAGCCUAAACAUGUUAUUUGCGCUGUGUUUUUACCAAUUUAUCAAAAAAACUUUAAUAUAUAUAAUCAAUUCAGCACAUGUAUUUUUUAUUUUAACCAGUUGAUUAUGAUUUUUAAAAUCGAGAAUUUAUCUAAUCUUUUCACUACAUAACAGUAUUAUUAAUUUUUCUUUUAUUUCUAUUAAUAUCAUUACCUAUUUCACCUCCCCUAUUAAGUGAACUUUUUAAAAAAAAGAAAAAAAGAAAAAUUGUACUCAAUUGUUUGAAAGAAAAAGUACAAGUGCUCAAUAGACCAAAGUGAUAACAUGAGAGGUUUUUUGAAAAUUGUUGGUUGGGAUCCUUUCGAUUCGAGAAUAAAUAUUUAUGAGAAUAAAUAUUUCUUGUCUUGGUGCUGUCUGUUUCCAAGAGCGCAGCGUGUGUGCAUAUAUAUAUAGUUUACAACGGGUAGUAAGAAAAAUAAAUGGGAGAAUUAAAGAGUUUUUUAAAGAAAAUUAUGAUUUUUGUUUAAGAAUUAAAAUUUAAAUUAUUAUUAAAAGUAAAAAAUUUAAAAACACCUGAAAUAAAAUUCUAAUCUUAUGCAUGCUGCCUACCACAAAGAUGCUACUUCGAAUUCGGGUCGAGCUUAUGUUAACCCAAUCAACGAGGGAAGAUCGGCGGGGGCUUAAGAGGUAGGGAUCGGUAGCGUGCCCCAGAAUUCUCAUCUGGUACCAAACGAUUGCUACCCAACCUGGUUCACGCAUAAGCCAGUUCGCCAUUUACCAAAGAGCGAGAUGCUACUCCUGUUUACGGCGGCGGAGGUGCCUUCCAAUCACACAAAAAAAUGAGAGAGAGGGUGGCCUAGUUCAUUGGUUAGAUGAACGGAGGAACUAGUUCAUGCCUGAAAGGCGAUUGGGGGAGUUAAGCCGGCCGGAGUGGGAUAUCUAUCGGCGUUCAUCACAAUUAUUUGUUCAAAAUAUGUCCUUUGUUCUGGGCUUGUAUUUUCAACCAAAAUAUGCUUGGUUUAACAGCAGUUAAAUGUUAAGCAAAGGUACCAUUAUUUCCAAUCAAAUACCUGCUAAGGCAAUUUAUUAAACAUCCACACAAUGACAAACUUUUUUGUUCACUUAUCAAACAGGAUUAAACAAUUUCAACACUUCUUCAAUUCAAUGUUUGUGAUAAGGUUAAGCAAAAGUUCAGACUUGCUCAUUACCUUUUUCAUGCUUCUUCUUCAGGUUUUUCAUUUGGUGAUCAUUUCGCAUAAAAGUUCAAUUUUUUUGGUGCUCGCCAUAAAAAGAUGCUUCAGUUCAGUGAUGUCCUUGGAGGACUGGUUUGCCUUGGAUAGCAGCCUAACGUCCCCGUCAGCAUUUGGGAACAACAUAGCAGACUGCGCCACAUUAAGAUGGUUAGAUCCCACCUGUAAGAAAAGAGAUCAUAGCAUCAUCCAAAAGUCUAGAAAUAUACUUAACGAUGUCAAUUCCAUAAGAUAUACUUUUAUCAGAAAAACGCAGCCAUCAAUACAUUUUACUUCGGAAUCCGCAAGUGUUUUAAUGGCUAUAUCAGCAUGCAAAUGUUAUCCCCCAUAAAUCAUAACAGGACACAUGAAGGUAAUCCAUCCUCCCUCGUAAUCACCCCUAUAUUUUCUUUUUCUUUUUCUAUGCAGACAUUACAUUUUAUCAGAAUUAUUCACACUUAAUACCGAAUCUAAGAGAAUUGUGUACCUUCUAUGUAAAUUAUCAUUAGAUUCUAAGCAAUAUUACUAAAUUCUUGAUAUCAGGAUGUUAAAUACUACUGAUCAUUCUAAUCUAAAACUUUUAAGAUGACAAAUAUUAAAAGAGAGAUAAAACAAUAUUCAAAUGAUGUUUUCAACAACUCUUUAAAUUUUCAAAUUCUUUUAAGCUUUUUUAUAAUGUUACCAAGAUCUAACAGUAAGUACUUCAACUUUGUAUUCCAAUAAAUAGCUUAUAGUAUAGUUUAUUUUGCCAAACAGUCCUCAACUAAAUAACGUGAACAUUCUUUGGUUAGUACAGACAGUUGUCAUGCAUUAACCCUAGUAGUUCUCCUCUUGCGGAAAAGAAGACUUUAUAAAUAUGCCAAUUUUGAUUAAUUUAUAGUCAAUUAAGAAUAAGGAACUCUCAAACUUGCAGCAAAAGAAUAUCUACAUGUUAAUUAAAAUCUUUUAUCAAGUGAAGAACAUUGAAAAUCAUGAUAUCAUAGUUCAAUAACGACUAUUAGGUGAUGUGGCGGAAAACUCAAUUAGAUUGCUACUACAAUUCAAAAUCUUUAAUCAUUAUAUGAAGCUUGAAAAAUAGUUUUAUUAACUAUUUCAAUCCAGAAACUAAAAUUUCUCAAUGAAAUUAUUUAUAAAAAAAUACAAGUCAAAGAGUGGUAAACUGCAAACGAGAGCAUAUAAUAAGAAUUAAUACAGUAAAGCAUGAAAAAACAAAAAUACUAAAUAGCCAUAUUUUUCUAAAAAUACAAAUUAUAAAAGUAACUACUAAACUAGACAACCAUAUCAAACACAAUGCAUCGAACAACUGGUAAACCAGCUUGUACAUAACAUGUACUUACAUCAAAAAAUUAAUUAGCUUAUCCUUACAAAAAAAAAUUGAAUUUACAAUAUUCUUGUCAUCUUUGUUACUAAAAACAAAUAAGACAAGCUUGCUAAACACUUCACGUGACCACCCUUGCUCUACACUUAACAUACUUUCUUACUUUAUCCAGCUUAAACCAUCUAGUAUACCAAACUUCUCAUAAUUUAAAAAUUCUAGACUACUCAUUCUAUCUCAAAACAACUAAUUAGCCAUAUUUUUCUAUUAAAAGGCAUUUUCUUUUAUCUUUACAACUUGAUACAAUCACUGGGAAAUUAUUACUGUCUUGACAUAAUUAUAUUCUUUUAACUUUGAGCUUACCUUUAAUCAUUCUCCAAUCUUAUUGGUGAGUGUUAUUUUCAUUUUUUUGUAUAAGUAAAAAAUCUUGUUAAAUAUUUUUGCAAAGUGUAAAACCACUAUAAAAUCCAUGCAUAAUCUGUCUUCCUUAUUUUUAUUUAUUUUUUUUCUAUUAUUACCUUGCAUUUGUUGUGUUUAUGUGUUGGAAAUGAUGGUUUGAAAAAACCAAAACUGCAAGGUUAGUUUCUAGAACACCUGAUUUACCUUCAUUCUUAGAUGCUUCGAUAUUUUAUUUGGUUGCAGAGCAAUGACUCUAAGAGUUAAGAUCAUGAUAUUUAAGGGACAAAGCUUGAAAGCUCCUUUUAUAUGAGAAAAAUUAUGCAUAUUAGAAGGUUAUAAUUAGCACAUUCCUAAAGUAAUGUGAUAUUGAACUUUGAAAUAUUGUAAAGAAAGGGUAUAUUGGACCCGCCAAAACCGAUAUUGAUGAUAAGUGACAUGUUAGACAAGUAAGAAAUCAUAGUUGUCAUGCAAACACGUAAAUGAAUUCUUUUAUGUUUUAUCUAACAAAGAGUUCACUAGGGUAAAAAAUCACAAGACAACUCAAAAGAUAAGGAAGUUGUUUGAGGUUACUCAUGAAAAGUCGAGCCAAGUUAAAGACUCUAGAUUGAUGUCUCACUAGAGAGUAUGGAUUAUUGAACAUGAGACAUUAGGUAAAAUCAUUACCAAAGAGAGAAUGGACGGCAAAAUUUUAAGGUCAUGGCAAUAAAGGAAUUCGAGAACCUUUCAACUCUAAAAUUUGAUGAGUUUACUAGUUCGCUAAUAGGACAUGAAGAAAAGAUUAAGGAUCUCGAAGUAAAUGAAAAUAUUCCAAAAAAAAUUAUUGCUUUGAAGUCCACAUGGCUACAUGAAUAGGAUAAUGAAAGUAGUAGUGAUGAUAAUGAGGCCAUUACAUUGAUUACUAGGAGAUUAGUCAAGUUUUUGAACAAGAAAAGGUAUGAAAAUCAAAGGGACUUCAAAGGUUAUUCAAGCAAGAGGGAUGUUAUCAAUUGCUUUGAUUACAAAAAGUCAAUUCAUGUGAAAUAUGAUUUUCCUAACACAAAGAAGAAAUGGAAGCAUGACAAAAACAAAAACAAAAUAUGAUAAAAAAAUGAAUGCUACUACAUGCUACUACAUUAAUAUAUAUAUAUAUAUAUAUAAAAAGUUAUAUGUGCCGUGUGUUAAUUGGAAAAGUAGGUGAAAGCUCGUUCUAACCCAAAAAUAUUGUAUCAACAUCUUAAGCACUCUAGUUAUUACAUCUAGACCUACUUGUUUCAAUGAGGAUAACUAGUCUUGGUGGUCCUAAUUAUCUUCAAGAUAAUCCUUGUCUUCAAGAUAAUGAUAGUUAUCCGCUUUCAAAUUUGAUUCUUAAUCAAAUUCAAACUUCAAAGAAGAGAAUGAGUUUGAUUGAAACUUUGUUUCUCGCAUGCGAAGGGACUCUUGCACUAUAAAUACAGAUCUCAGUAUGCACGAAAAAAAGAGAGAAAAAAGAAAAAAGACCCCAGGAGAAGGACAUUACCAGAAACCCUACAAAAAAAGAGGGGGUGCGGCCGAAUCCUAGCCUAGCCACCGCUGCCCCCUCUCCCCAUCUUUUUUUUUCCUCUUCUUCCCUAGUCUCAAAACCAGCCAUACGCCCCUCCCCUCAUUGGCCUUUAGCUAGCUUCCUUUCUUCUUCCCCGGUUUGCAAUAACAGAACAUAAAGGAAGAUGCUCCAUCUUCACUUUUUUCUUUUCUGGCCCGGGACCAAACCACCCCAUCAACAACCCUCUUUCUCCACAGACAAAGCCUAGACAUCACCACCCUCACUCUUUGAAGAAAGAAGAGAACGGGACCUUCGGAGAAGGGAAGAGUAUUAAUUAUUGCAGCAACAGCAGCAAGUUUCCUCCUUCGGCACCAGCGACGACCACACCAGUAGAUCAAUAGUGCAACUCCUUCUUCUCCAGCAUAUCAUCUUCCUUUAUGAAAUACUAUGAGCCAUCCAGCAUGCACUCCUCCAAUAACAGCAGAUUUUUAAAUCAUAAAACGCAGCUUUGUCUUUAACCGUGGGGGUCUUUCAGUUCAAAACUGUGAUCAUCAGCACGAGCACUCCUAAGUUCCAGCAUUCUUGAUUUUUCAUUUUUUUCAUUGAAGCAGCGACGACGGGUGCUCCUCAGCCACACCUUCCCUCAGCUGCAGUGGUAGAACCAGCAGCAACCUCCUUCCCAGCAACAGCAAUGCUGUUUUCAGCAACUUGACUUUCAGCCACACCAUCAGCAACUAACAAAAGCAGCUCCUCUCAACAAGUUACCACUGCAACCAGCAUACAUCCUCUUCUCAACAAGCUGCCAUUGUGAGUAGCAGAAGCAGUGUCCAACAUCCUAGCUUCAACUGAGAGCAGCGUCCAGUAGAGGUUCCCAUUGCCAGCAGAAGGUAAACACAAGGAGGGAACGAACAACAUGAGGAACCCGGAGAAAGAAUGGAGAAGAACUAGCAUCGAUCAAUUCCUCUCCAGUGAUCCAGAAAUCAGAGAAAGAACGGAGGAAAAGAAGUAGCAUUGGUCAGCCAUUGCCCCAUCAUCCAGCUUCUUCUCCAGCGAACCAGGUCAGCCUUCUCUUCUCUGCCUUUGCAAAUAUAAUUCACUUUUCUCAUUGUGUGCAAAUUUAAUUACCCUAUCACUGUUGCAUGCAUACAUGCGUGAAUUGUUCACGCAUGAGCACAACAGUGACCAACCAAGUUACUAGCGUACAACUAGGCUAGAUCCAGUAAAAAAAAAGGAGUUCAUGUUUUGUUUAGUACAGAAUUUUGUGAAUUUAUUCACUGGCAUCAAAGUCAGGAAUACUACACUUUUUGGGUUGUGCAAUAUUUAUAAACGCUAGAGUUGGAAAUAUUUGUAAUUGAUUAUUCACUGACGCCAGAGUCAGGAAUAUCCUAGGCGGACCAUGAAAAGCGUAAUACAAAAAACUCUAAGCAAUUUUAGGCAAAACCAGCAGUGCAGCCUACCUCAAGUAGGACGUUUAAGGAGUGAUGGCAUCUUUCCCUUUUGCGUAACCAGUCUCGUACCAUAAAAUCUCUAUUGACCAAUUAGGGUUCCUAGUGACCAUAAUACUAAGUGGCGACUCUUUAAACAAGACCAUUCCCCAUCAAAGAACAAGACGCCAAAAAUCCGUUCUUUUCAAGAUAAUUUUUAACCGGUCACCGCGAUGUCCGGGUGUAACAAGUUAAUUGAGAAAUGUCAUAUUGAUGUUUAUUUGGAAUUUUCAUCCGACACGUAAUAUGUCAUGCUUUUUAAUUAUGAUGCUAAAGCCUUUAAGAUUUUGUCUAGGUCGGCAACUCAGCAGCUCAUUUAACUAUUUCAAAUCAUGUUUUGUAUGAGCUAGUUGCUAGGAUCGUUUGACCUAGCGGUGGACAUAAGAAUGAUAUCAGCUAGUCUUAUAUUUGGAUGAUGAAAUCUCUAGCAUUAUUACCUUGUAUUUGUUGUGUGGUGGUUUGAUAUUGAAAAGGAUUUAUGAAUGUUGUUGAGUUUUUUUAGUUUGUUUAAAAUGAAUUGAAAUUGUAAGAUUAGUUUUUAUAGCAUCUAAUUCACCCCUCUUAUAUGCUUCAGGAUUUCAUGAAAAACAACCCUCCAUGCAUGAACCAAUGAUAAUCCUACCAGUUUACAAGCAUGAACUAAGCAUCUUAAUUAUAGCUGGAUUAAGUGGGAAGAUGAAGCACAUAAUUUACCACAACUAAAAUUAGUAUAUCUAAAUUUUGAUUUACUCCGCACGUGAUAAAGCAUAUUAUACUUCCAUUAAACAAAAUAAGGAGAGAAAUUAAAAGGAAGACGGAGAGAAACGCACCAUAAGGCUCUGGACUGAUGGCUCUUGACACAAUGCCUCCACAAGGUUUUCUUGAACGGUGAUUCUUUUGUUCAGUGAAACGCAAAGUUCAGUUUUCUGAAUUUCGAUGCCAUCCUGCCUGAGUUGCAACUUCUGCUUUAAGAUGUCAUUUCCACUCUUGAUCUUCUCAUUUUCUUUAGCAGUAGCACGAAGAAAAUGCACCAUCCCUUUUGAUUUCCUCUUCUAUCAAAAUCAAGACAACACAAUGAAAGCAAUGAGGGGAAAAAAAGAAAAAAUGAGGUUCUUUUGCUCCUCGAUCAAGAGCUAUGGCUAACGCUAAAAUUUGUUAUUACCUUCACACGUUUCCCAAACUCGCUCGUUUUUCUCUUUUUCACUUUCUGCUCUGGUGAAACUCCAGCAACAGUCCUUUCUCCACCUUGCAGCAGGUUCAUGGGGUUUUCAUCCAAUAUCCCCCUGCCUCCUUCCUGAGGGACUAAAUGGGAAACAAAAUUAAUAGCAAGAAUUUAUGACUGUUAAUUUAUGGACACAUAAAAGAGUAUAGAUUCCUGUUAAUUACUUUUACUCCAAUACAGUCUCCAUGUUUAUGACCUUCCAUUUAUCUAUAUUGUGCCAGCUCACCGUGAAAACUUUUUUUUUUUUUUUAAUUAAGCCAAAACAAAACUUUAUGAAAGUAUUGAGCAAGAUUGAAAGAACAAAUAACAGAGAACAAAAAACAAAAAAUAGACAUUGAAGAGAGCCCCAGCAAAAUAAGGAAUUUGGAUGCAAUAGACGGACUCCCAUAGAUGCCAUCAGGAAGCCACGCAAAAACAAAGCUAAUCCCAUCCCACUAAGACAAAGAAUAUUAGUAAAAAUAAAUAACAUGAUAAAGUGCACAUGAUAAUGCACGUAGUAUCCAACUCUCACCCAAGGUCAAGAACUUAUGAGUGAAAGACCAUUAGGCUUCUAGCUAGGUGGGACUCAUACCAACCUCGCUCCUUCGAGGAGAAGGUUGAGUGGUUCGAAUAGGGAUUCAGUCUCUGUUUGUACUCAAGAAGAGGUCAAAGUUAAUCCUUCAGCUUUAGUAGAGGCUAGCUUAAUCGCUGUUGUAGUUUUAUAGACCAAACAUCUCUUGUUGUUGUCAGCUAAUUACCAACUUCUAUUGCUAAUCCUCUAACUGUAAGCAAUAAGGUUCUAUCUAUGGAAAGAAGAAGAAGAAACUUAUAAGUGAAAACAACUAUGUUAACGGAUUCCCCUUGUUUAAUCAAUUAUAGCCAAGUCUUAUCAUCACAUUAAACUCUUCGAUUCUUAAAAAAAAAAAACAGUAAUUUUCUAUUUUUGUAGAACAAAAUCCCUCCAAUUGUUUUAAAAUUUUAAAAUCUUCUCCCAAAAAGGAAAAAAGAAAAGAAAAAUAUAUCAAAUUAACACAAAGCCAUUGUCUAUGUCUGCUUUAAGAAUCUCAUUUUAAUAGGACGAGACAGAGAAAGAACUGGUACAUAAAAGUUGGAAAUUGAGAUGAAUCUUCCACAACCCAGACCUUUUUUGAAAUUGCAGGGUGAAGUUGGCUUUCAUAUAUUUCAUUUCUGGAUUGAACAAGAAACAACAUGCACGCGCCAACUAAAAGAGAAGAAGCAAGUAAGCAAGUACUAUGUUGAUCUUCUAUAUACUUACUCCUAUCAGCAGUCUUCGAAGCAUCAAGAUCCACCAUUGCUCAGUUGAUGAGGAGGCUUUUGAUUACUACAGAAAACCCUUUGAACGAUAAAGCACUUUGAAAUUGGUUAUAUAGAAGGAUGCAGACAGCAAUCGCGCGAAGACUCAGUUCAUCCGCGCGAUGAGGGGAGAGCGCCAGAGGGUCGGUCAAUACUUCUCGACUAAGGUUUCGGUUUAAAGGCUUUAAUUUUCUUUUUUACGAUUCCAACCCCUUUAAUUUCCUUUGUUUGCUAUUUUAGCUUUGGACUGUCGACUAUACCCAAUAUUUUUCUUAUUUUAUUUUUGAACUUAUAAAGAUAGUUUUAUUUUACAAGUGGAAUUACAAUUUUGCUUCUAGAUUCAUUUUGACCUUAUUUAGUUCAAAGUUCAACUUCUUUUUUUUAAUUAAUUUUAGGAAAUGAUUUUAUAUUAUUUUAGCUGCGCAAGUGAGAUUCUUGAUAUAAAAGAAAAAUCAUAAAUUAUUGACUAAAUAUGAAAACAGUACCUUGCAUGUACUUCUAUCCACUCAAAUGAUUUUGGGCUAACUUGACAUUCCCUAUUUUAUUGGUGUUAUUUUUUAAUCAAUUUCAUUCUUAAUCCAUACAUCAGUCCUCAAUCAAAUCCUUUCAUCUAGAAUAAUUGUAAGUUUUUUUAUAGAAAAAAGUUAUGCUAAAAAUGGCAUUGUAUUAUUGCUCAAGGUAGUGCUUUAGAUGGAAACCCUAAUGUAUCGGGAUAGGGUUAGAAAACUAAGAGAACCUAAUUGAGAAUUAGUGUAUAGAUUAGGGAUUAAUCUGGGGCUAUCCACUUAUGCCCAUAUCUGUAUUGGGGAUUUGAGGGAAAUAAGCAUUCGUUUUUUAUUUUAUGUUUUUUGAUAAUAGCUAAAAGUUUUAUUAAAAAAAAAGAAUACAAAGAUAAUAGCCUAAUCACUCUUUUUUAUGAACCAUAGCUGAUAAAAGAACACAAGGUGGAGAGAAAAUGAAAAAAAAACUGUAGUUUAAGAUGAAAAAAAAAAAAAUUGAUGGAUUCUCUCACCUUCGCAUCAUCUCAAAGCAAAAAUAUGAAUGAACAGUAGAAGAAGAGGGUUGAGCAAAGGGUUUCAGCUGUCGUGAUGUGAUUGGAACACAAGAGGAGGAGCAUUCGAGCAGAAACAGAUAUGGAUAGAAGAAAAAACAGGUCCAGGAAGGAUAAUUUUAGUAAAAACACAACCUUGAGAGGGAACAACUCUGUCCCAUGAACACUCGUGCUCAAAAACAUCCAAGAACCGAAGGUAGUAGAGUAGAAUCAUCCAUCAGAGUCUAGCUAAGGACCGCCAACAUCACAGCACGAUGGAAUUGCAGAUACCAUGAGGUAUUUAUAGGCUUAAGGUAUUGCAUCGCCAAAAUCAUUGUACGAUGAUGCAGCUUACAGGUGCCUAUUUAUAGGCUUAUUUGCCGACAUAACAAGAACACUUAAUUCUGUGUGUCUCAGCCCUCCACAUGCUAAGAUACUUGAUUGCUAAGAAUGACAGUGACCACCUCCUCGUACUAGAUUAACAUCCAAGGCUUACGUAAAUUAUAACAAGCAAACUCAAGCUGAAGGUACUUCAUUGUUAAGUAAUGAAAUCAGCCAAUCAUAUGCUUCCAGGCUAAUAGUAUUAUAUACUAGAAUUUACCAUCCUCUUUUUCAUAGUGCAGGUACCGACUUAGCUUGAUGUUAAAUUGCAAGUAAUUACUUUUCCAACUCGACUGCGCAAAUAACCAAUCCAAAGAAAAAACAUCUCCAAAAGAUUCCAUUUUUAUCAAAGCCUUUUGCCACGGGUCUGGCUUUGUACCAUUCCAUUUUUAUUCAUGACAACAUGUUUACCAUUUGGCCUUGGAAAGAGAGACCACAUCUCAUUUUCCUUCAAAGCAUCGAAGUCAGGUCCCAUGGCUACAUGCAACCCCAUCUACAUGAAAUAAUUGUGUGUAGUUUCCAUGAAUAAUCAUAUAUGUGGCUUUCUUACAAUCGUUUUGGCAUUGAAAAGGCUUUGGCAGCUAAAGGUUUUAGUCCAUUCUAGAAUAUGUUCCCGCGCUCCAGGUCAAUAAUAAUUUUUAUUUUAAAUAUAAAAAAAUUAUAGAAUGUGAUUUUAAAUGUUUUUGGUGUAGCAAAGCCACACAUAAUAGCAUUUUUUUAUUAAUAAACACAAAACACAACACUCCAAAAGUACAACAGUAUCGUCGUCCACAGUACAAAUACACUAUGUUUAUCAUAUGGUCCACAAUGCAAUGAGUCUAUAUCCACAAUACUAUUUUUAAAAAUAUUAAAAAAAAACAUAUAUUGAGAUAAUAUUUUUUUUUAUUUUUAAAAAUUUAUAUAUCAUCAUAUCAAAAUAAUACAAAAACAUCAAAGAAUAUUAAUUUGAAGUAAAUAAAAAAAAUUUAAAAAUUAAAGCAUUUUUUAAACACAAAAACAAACAUGUUUUAAUAAGAAAAUUCAAUCCAACCUGAAAUGAAAAAAUAAAUUAUCAUCACCCAACUUUUGAACAGUAUAAAAAAAAUCACGUCAAUUUAUUUUAUUUUUAUAGUAUGAAAAAAAUCCAUAAGAGAAAAGAAAAAAAAGUAUAGUGGAAAAAAUAAAAUUGAAAAUAUCUUACAAGAAAAAAAAAUAAAAGGAAAGAAAUUAAUUGUUGGUGUAUUGGGCACUGCUUUUCUAUGUGUUAUUCAUGGUGCUACUAUAGAGAAAACUUUAAUUGAAGAUGAUGAUACAAAUAUAUUUCAUGUUUAUAACCAAACUAAAGCAUUUCUGCAGUUGAAAACAAAUUGUUAUUGACUCGUUGUGGAGCGCAUGCCAAUAUGCUAGCUGUUAAUAUUAUUACUUAAUAGUUAUUUUAUAAAUAUUUUCUUUAAAAAAACAUAUUGAGAUAAAAAAAAAUUUAUUUUUUAAAAUUAAUAUCUUAUAUCAUCACAUCAAAAUAAUACAAAACAUCAAAAAAAAUUGAAUUAAAAAAAUUAAAAAACAAAAUCAAAAUGUUUUAAAGCAUUUUUGAAAGGCAAAAACAAAUACACUUUAAUAAGAAAACUCAACUCGGCCUCAAAUAAAAAACCAUUAUCAUCAUCCAACUUUUAAAUAAUAUAAAAAAAGUACCAUAAAUUUAUUUCCUAUUUACCAUAUGACAAAAAUUAAAUAAAAGAAAAGAAAAAAGUUUAAAGAAGCAAAAAAUAAUUGAAAAUAUUUCGUGGCCCAGCCAGACCCAAUAGUGUUGGGUCCAGUUGCCCAACCACACCCAAGAUCUGUGGGUCUACCUGAGAGUCAUACCCAAUAGCCUUGAGUGUGGGUACUAGCCAGACCUAAUAGUGUUGGGUCUGGCGGCCAAGCUAGACCCCGUAACACUUUUUGACUAAUAAAUAAAAAAGACAAUGCCCCCCAAGUGCUACAGUGUUGUCUAUAGUGCAAACAUUAUAUGUUUAUAUUAUGGUCCACAAUGCAAUUAGUUUAUAUUCACAGUACCUGCACAAUGUUUUUCUCAUGCCUUUUAAAAUAUAGAAUAAUAUGCAUCACUUAUAGCUGUACAAGUGAUGGAAAAUAACAAAUUGCAAUACAAUUAGGGUUUUAUCCUGAGUAUCUUGUCCCAUACAAAAUACUAGUAUAUUGGUCAGCGCUUCGCCGCAGGUAGGAUAAUUUUUUUAAAAUGUUAAAACAAUAAAUGAUUUUUUGACUAUAUUAUUAAACCUGACUUAAUGGGUCAAUUUUGAAAUCUCGUAACCUAACUCUUUGUUUAUCUCGAGUUUCAAACUAAAUUGUGCAGAAGUUAGCUUGAAUUAAAUUAAUUGAUUUUAUGGAUUAAAAUGCAAUUUUGAUGACUGGUAAAAACAUGACUUAACUUUUAAUAAAAUUUCAAAAUAAUAACUUUUUUUAAAAAAAAACUAUUGAGAGAAUGAUAUAUUAGAUCAAUCUCAGUCACCAAGUAAAUUGUGUUAUAGACUUCAUUGAGUUUAAUAAUUUGUUUUUUAUAAAAUAUUUUUUAAUUAUAUGAUAAAAAAUAUGUUGGUCAUAAAAUUAAGCACCAACCUAAAAAUAAAAACUUAUUUGAGACAAUGAUAACUUUAAAGAAAACAAAUAAAAUAAAUCAUGCAAUUUAUUUCUCAACCAAUCAAAUAUUGAAUGAUAAUGUUGAUACACGACGUCGGGCGACGGCUCCGCUCAUUUUUGUUUAUUUAACAAAAAAAGAUUUGUUUAAUUGGGGGAAAUGAAAAUUUUAUUGGAGUCGCCAUCUAGUAAUUUGAGGGAACUAGAAAUCCCAAAUUAGACACUGGUCCCAAAGAUUCGGGUACUGGGUUAGUUAUGAUUAAGGGAAGGUAGACACCACCCUUAAAACAUCCUUUCAAAAGAAAGGUUACCCUUACUUGUGUGUUUUUUAUUUGAUUUAAAUGCUAUUAUAUUUUGAGCUUAUUUGCAAUUUUUUUUUUUUUAUGGUUAACGUCGGUCCCUAAAAAUAGGAGACACGUUAAAAAUGACAUCAGUCCCUAAAAAUAGGAGACUUGUCUAAAAUAUUGACGUUUAACCCUAAAAAGGAGAUUUACGUCUAAGUUACCAAAAAAACUAUGGACAUAAUCCAUAUUUGGUAUUUAAACUUUUGACAUCGGUCCUUUUAUGAAAAAGAGACGUGUCGAUAAAAUAUUCGUUUAUAAAAUAAAACUAUUUUGAUAUCGUUGAGAUAUGGGUAUAACUAUAUUUGAAAAUUGGGCUUUGGACCCACGAAUGAUGACAUAAUAGGAUGGGUGUUGGACCCGCGUUGUUAUUUUUUUGUUUUACAACAUGCAAGAAAAUUUAUAUACAAAAUAAAAAAAUAUUAGCAAUCUAAAUAAAAUUACAUGAGUGACACAGUAUAGGUAAAAGACUGAAAUACCCUCGGAUUUAUCAGAAAUUUACGAAAAUGCCACUGGCGGCGCGUGUGGCUCACGCGCGGCUACUGUUGGUGGCGACGAGAUUUUCAGCGAGAUUUCUGGCAACCGAUGGUCGUUCUGGUAGAUCUGAGGUCGAGGAUCUGUUGGUGGUGGUCUGACGGUCGUUGAUGGCUGACGAGGGAGAAUCGUCGACUUGAAGCUUCGGUGGCCGGCGAGAAUCGCGGCCUUUUUCCGGCCAGAUGAGGCGGCGAAAACGGUUAAAACCGCCGGGGUUUUGCUUUAAACCAGUGGAUACCUUUCUGUGGUGGUUCGGAGACUUUAUAUGGCCGGAAAGUGGAGAUCGGAGGGAGAGAGAGAGUCGCCGGCGAGAGGAGAGAGAUGCUCCGAGAUUUGCUACGGUGCGGACGCGUGUAUGGUGUACCGGUGCCGCUGAAGGAUGUUAACCGUUGGAUCUUGGAUGAAACGAUCGGAUGGCUGUGAUUGGCUAGAUCAGCAGGUUGAUCACGGCCCAGAUUGUCUGGUUUGAUUGUGUGGCGCGGUGCACCGAAAGCUCGGUGCACCGGAUGACGUGGCGCAACGGGAUUAAAUCCUGGAAUAUGUUAACGGCUGAGAUGUGUUGGGAUAUGUUUGGUAUUUUUUAAAUUGUUUUUUUUAAAAGACAAUAUCCUACUCUCCUGAAGAAAAACUAAAAAAAUUAGAAUAUUAUCAAUCGAUUCUUUCUUUUUUUUUCUUUUCUCUUCCUUCUUUUUUUUUUCUGCCCCCCUCUCGUGGCUAUUUAUAGCCACGGGACAACAACCAUAAAUUCUUUUUAUAUAUAUAAUAAGAAAUAAUGCACACAACUACCAUAAUUUUGUUUUAUUAUAUAUAAUAAUAAAUAUUGCACACAACUACCAUAAUUUUGUUUUAUUAUAUAUAAUAAUAAAUAUUUACAUGGGUAAAACUAAAAAUUCAAAUCAGUAUUAGAAAAAUCCCGUUUCAACCGCCAAAAAAUGGAAUACCAAAAAAAACAUUUGAUGGGUAUCGACCCGAUGAACCGGGUUUUGGUCGAAAAUGACGGUUUUGACCCAAGACAGCCCGAAACUCAUUUUUUACCCUGGUCGACAUGGUAUGACCCGUAUUGACCCGGUGAACUCGAUUUUGGUCGAAAAUGAUGUUUUUGACCCGAAACAGCCCGAAACUCAUUUUUUACCCUGGUCGACAUGGUUUGAAUGAAGAGAUGCGGUUGACUCGAGAGAAAAAAAAUAUUUUUGAAUUUUCAAAUUUUUUCUUAAUAUUUUUUUGGAUUUUUUGAAAAUAUAUAAAAAACAUGGGUCAAAAAUUGGGUAGCAACAGAUAAGAUCGAUUAAAAAUUAUUAAAAACAAUUAAUGGACGGAAAACCAAAAAAUCAUAUCCGAUCGGUGGCUGAACAAUCAAAUCUAUGAAUCGGGUAACCCGAGUUAGCAUGCCAAACCUAUGAACCAAGUUAUAGACUCUAGUGGAAUUAUAAUUUUUUUUUCCAAAACUAUUUUUUAUUUAACUACAUGAUAAAAAAAAUAUAUAUAUAUGAUUGCAAAAUAAAACUCCAACCUAAUACUGAGAUGCUGUAAAAAAUUAAACGGUAAAUAAAGAUCAAAAUAUUUAACAUCGCAACACGACUAAUUUAUGUUGUUGUGUUUAAUGAAUCUCUUUAUCAAAAUAAAGUUAUAAUAGAAAAACACUUAAAAUUUAAUAAAUAAAACAAAAAAUUAUAAGGUUACACAUAUGAAAAAUAUUAUAAAAAAAACAAUAUUUAUAGUGUGGUCCACAUGGCAAUGAGUCUAUGUCCACAAUACUAUUUUUUAAAAUAUUUUAAAAAAACAUAUACUGAGAUAAUAUUUUUUUAUUUUUAAAAAUUUAUAUAUCAUCACAUCAAAAUAAUACAAAAACAUAAAAAAAUAUUAAUUUGAAGUAAAGAAAAAAAUUAAAGCAUUUUUGAAACACAAAAACAAGCAUGCUUUAAUAAGAAAAUUCAAUCCAACUUGAAAUGAAAAAAUAAAUUAUCAUCACCCAACUUUUGUACAAUAUUAAAAAAAAGUCACAUCAAUUUAUUUUAUUUUUAUAGUAUGAAAAAAAAUCCAUAAGAGAAAAGAAAAAAAAUUAAAGUGGAAAAAAUAAAAUUGGAAAUAUCUUACAAGAAAAAAAAUUAAAGGGAAAGAAAUUAGUUGUUGGUGUAUUGGGCAUUACUCUGCUAUGUGUUAUUCAUGGUGCUACUGUAGAAAAUACUUUAUUUGAAGAUGAUGGUACAAAUAUAUUUCGUGUUUUUAACACAACUAGAGCAUUUCUGCAUUUGAAAACAAAUUAUUAUUGAUCCGUUGUGGAGCGCAGGCAAAAAUAAAUAUACUUUAAUAAGAAAACUUAACUCACCCUCAAAUAAAAAAAAAAUUAUCAUCAUCCAACUUUUAUAGAAUAUAAAAAGUACCAUAAAUUUAUUUCUUCUUUACCAUAUGAAAAAAAAAAUUAAAUAAGAGAAAAGAAAAGGAGUCUAAAGAGGCAAAAAAAAAUUGAAAAAAUUUAGCGGCCCAGCUAGAUCCAAUAGCGUUGGGUCCAGCUGCCUAACUAGACCCAAGAUCUGUGGGUCAACCUGAGAGCCAGACCCAAUAGCCUUGAGUGUGGGUACUAGCCGGACCUAAUAGUGUUGGGUCUGGCGGUCAAGCUAGACCAAGUAACACUUUUUGACUAAUAAUAAAUAAAAACACCACCCCUAAGUGCUACAGUGUCGUCUACAAUGCAAACAUUAUAUGUCUACAUUAUGGUUCAUAAUGCAAUGAGUUUAUAUUCAUAGUACAUGCACAAUUUUUUUUUCACGCCUUUUAAAAUAUAAAAUAAUAUGCAUCACUUAUAAGUAUACAUGUGAUGGAAAAUAACAAACUGCAAUACAAUCAGGGUUUUAUUUUAGGUAUCUUGUCCCAUACAAAAUACUAGUAUAUUGGUCAGCGCUUUGUAGCAGGUAGGAUAAUUUUUUUAAAAUGUUAAAACUGCGAAUGAUUUUUUGAUUGUAUUAUUAAAUUUGACUUAAUGGUUAAUCUUAAAAUCUCUCAACCUAGCUCUUUGCCUAUCUCGAGUUUCAAACUAAAUUGUGUAGAAGUGAGCCUGAAUUAAAUUAAUUGAUUUCAUGGAUCAAAAUGCAAUUUUAAUGACUGGUAAAAACAUGACUUAACUUUUAAUAAAAUUUCAAGAUAAUAACUUUUUUCAAAAAAACAAUUCAGAGAAUGACAGAUUAGAUCAAUCUUAGUCCCUAAGUAAAUCGUGUUAUGGACUUCAUUGAAUUUAAUAAUUUGUUUUUUUAUAAAAUAUUUUUUUAAUUAUAUGAUAAAAAUAUGUUAGUUACAAAAUUAAAAACUCUUUUGAGACAAUGAUAACCAUAAAAAAAGCAAAUAAAAUAAAAUAAAUAAUGCAGUUUAUUUCUCAACCAAUCAAAUAUUGAAUGAUAAAAUCAAGAAAAAAACUAUUAAAAACAAGUAAUGGACCAAAAACCAAAAACCAAAAACCAAAAACCAAAAAAGCAUAUCCAAUCAAUGAUUGAACUAUCAAAUCUAUGAAUCAGGUAACCCAAGCUAGCACGUCAAACCUAUGAACUAAGUUUUAAACUCUAGUGGGAUUAUAAUGUUUUUUCCAAAACAAUUUUUUAUUUAACUACAUGAUAAAAAAAAUAUACGAUCGUAAAAUAAAACACCAAACUAAUACUGAGACGCUAUAAAAAAUUAAACGACAAAUAAAGAUCAAAAUAUUUAACAUCGCAACACGGGUAAUUUACGUUGUUGUGUUUAAUGAGUUUCUCUAUCAGAAUAAAUUUGUAAAUACUUAAAAUUUAAUACAUAAAAACAAAAAAUUAUAAGGCUGUACAUAUAAAAAAUCUUAUAAAAAACAAUAUUUUGUUUAAAAACUUAAUCUAUAUAAAAUUUAAAAAAAUUAUAGAUGAUUUGUAGCUAUCUUUUUAAAAAAUAAACAUACUCAAUAUCAUUAAAAAUCAUGACAGACUAAUUAAAAUCUAAACUCAAAAUUUAUUGGAAAACAAAUAUCCACUUAUCCAUUAUUUAAAAAAAGAAAAAAAAAAGAAUCAACUAAUUCCCAACCCGUUAGACAGCUGCUGUGAUUAAAUUAUUCGAGCUUCACGAACUAUAAAUAGAUAGAUAAAGAGCCACAUAAAAAAGAGAGAAUCAUCAGACCCAUGCAGCCUCAACUAAUUAAAUCAGGAUUAAAGGAAAAACCUGGAAGAUAAGAAAAUGUGAAGGGUUAGAGAGAACUAUGAAAGAACUCUAGACUUGUGUUAUUUUCACACAAGUAAAUAAACAAAGAUCUAAAUAAUAUUCUAUCAAAAACUCCUCUAAAAAAUAUCUUAUAACUGUCAACUGUUUAUAUAGGUAUUUAACUGACUUGCAUUAUUAGAAAUUCACUUAAUAGCAACGGAUUUAUUAAUGGAAUAUUUCUAUCUGUAAUUUAAGGUCGAAUUUACCGACGAAACUUUUUCUAUUUGUAAUUCAGUCAGUAACUACAAACGGAAUUUAUAAUGAAAAAAGAAUCUUAAAAAAGUAGGAGAAUGAGGAGGGAAAAUCCAAGAUUUUCUAGAAAAAUACUAAAAAAAUAGAAUUUUUAUGCCUAAUUUGAGAGCUUUCAUGACUUUAGCUCAAGCUAAUCCUUACAAAGAACAUGGCAUAUAGAAUAUCUAAACUUGAGAACGAUUUAACGGUGUAAGUACGUAAACUUGAGAUUCUUAAUUUGUUCUUCUCCAAAACAAAGACUUAAUUUGUUUAUUGCAAUAAUCCCAAUUACCGAAAUAUCAAUACUUUCAUGCUGUAUUUAUAAUUAUUAAAGUUUCACCUCUAGAUUCUAUCACAUAAUCAUUUCAACCCAAUAACUUAAGCUAUUAGUUAAAAUUUCAAGAUAUUAUUUAUAUCAUUAUCUAAUAUACCCCUUCAAAUAAAAACUCUUUGAAUUUAAAACUUGAAUAAAUUCAUAUUACUUUAUAUUUAAUUUUUAUCGAAUAAAUAAAAAUAAUAAGAUUCAAACUCCGAACUACUAGAUCAUUAAAACUCUGAUAUCAUGUUAAAGAAUUAUUUCAAUCCAAUAAAUCAAGUUGUUAGAUAAAAUUUUAAGAUAUGAUUUAUAUUAUUCUUUAAUACCUUUCAUAAAAUUAACACAGGAAUACGAGUGAACGGGUACGCAUGAUCCAAUCUUAAUAUUUUCUUUAAUAAUGUUUUGGGAAUUUCCUUAAAGCCAUUCCUGCAAAUAAAACAAAUGGUUUUUUUAUGAUUUGGAUUUAGAUUGUAUUUUAAAAGUAUUUCUAAUCUAAAAAAAUUCAAAUAAUAAUAACCAUCUUGACGUGAAUAUAAAACAUAAUUAUUAACAUAUACUUUAAAACGAGUGGGGAAAGUAUUGUAGUUUUUCUAUGUAUUUUUUUUUUGUUUUGGGUUUUUUUUUGUUGCUAUUUUGUCAUUUAUUUUUGUUUUGUUUUUCUUUUUUUUUCCCCUUUUUUUCCCCACAUUUGUUUUCAUUUUCCCCCCAUAUUUUUUUGGGUUUUACAUUUUUUUUCUCUUUUUCCCCAAGAUUAUCUUCUUCUUUUGUUUUUUCUUAUUUUUUUUUUAUAUUUUUUUUCAAAAUUAUCUUUAUCGAUUUUUUUUUAACAUUGAACUAGUUGAUAAUUUAAUAUUAUAAUUUUUUUCUUUAAAAUAUUAUAGAUUACUACAAUGUUUCCCUACAUGGUUUUUUUUUAUGAAUUUUUUUUUUCGAAAUGAUCUUUGUCAAUUUUAUUUUUUAUAUAUUAAGUUGAUUGAGAAUUUUGCUUUGUAGAUUUUUUUUUUGAAACACUGUGAAUUGUUACAAUGUUUACCCACAUUAUUUUUGUUUUGCUACAGUGUUUCCCAUAUGUUUUUUUUUCAAAAUUAUCUUUAUAAAAAAUAAAACAUUAUGAAUUUCUACAGUGUGUUCCCCUAUAUCAUUUUUGUUUUGCUGUAGUGUUUCUCCACAUGUGUUUUUUAUUUUUAUUUUUGUUGAAUUAGUUCUUUAAUGUUGAAUUAGUUCUUUAAAAUACUGCGGAUUACUAUAAUAUUUCUCCAUAUUUUUUUUUUCUGGCUACAGUGUUUUCCACAUGUUUUUUUUAUUAUGAUUUUUUUAAAAAAUUAUUUUUAUCAAAUUUAUUUUUUUUCAUACUGAAAACUUAGCUUUUUUUAAAAAAAAAUCAUGAUUUUUUUUAUUAUGAUUUUUUUAAAAAAAAAAUUAUCAAUUUUAUUAUUUUAAAUAUUGAGUUGGUUGAAAAUUAUAAUUAUAGAUUUUUUCAUGAAACACUAUAAAUUACUUUUCUUUAAUGGUUUUUUUUUUCUUUGAUUUUUUGUGAUUAUCCAAAAAAAUUUUAUUGAUUUUAUUUUAUUAAUAUUAAAUUGAUUGAGAAUUAUAAUUAUAUAUAUUUCCUAACAAAAUAUUAUAGAUUGAUAUAGUAUUUUUCUAAAUGAUUUUAAUAUUUAGCUGAUUGAGAAUUUAACUUUAACUUUAAUUUUUAUUUUAUUUUAAUUUGUUUUUGGUUUUUGCUUCUCAAAAUUUUUUUUAUUUUUUUAUUUUUUUUGUGUUUUAUUUUUUUUGUGUUUUAUUUUUUAGAAUUGAUUUUGUUAAUUUUAGUUUUUUAAUAUUAAACUUAGUUGAUAUAAAUUAUGGAUUGAAACAAUUUUUCUUAAUAUGAUUUUUUAUAUAUAACUUUUUCCACAACAACACACAUGAUACAUGCCUGCGGCAUUGCUAGGCAUAGCAUCUAGUUUUAAUAGAAACAUUGGAAGAAGAAGAAGAAGAGGAGGAAAAAAAAAAAGAGAAAAAAAAAGAACAAGAAGAGAAGAGAAAAAAAACCAAAAUAAAGGUAGAAUAAAAAAGUCCUUGGUCUCGUAGUCAAUUGGAAUAAGCUGGUACAAUUGAACUAGAAAUCCAAGGAACUUAUUUAUUGCAAAUUGAACGGCAGAGUAGAAACAGCAUAUGAAAUGGUUCUUGGGGGGGCAGUACGAAGGCUUGCUCAUGCUAAGGCUCUGCUUCCCAUUAGAUCACUAAAGCAUAAUAUUUAAACAAAGAAAAAGUUAGUAAAUCAUAUCAUAUGCAUAAAACAAAACGGUGGAUAAAAAAACUCGGUGCAGUUUUCAAUAUGAUAUAACUUUAUCUUGCUGAUCGGGAACGGAUUUAGAUCUAGUUUGUUUUUGCUGAGCAAAAAAAAAUUUUAAUUAUUUUUUAAGAAUUUUUAGAUCGUUUUUGUUUCCAUUUUUAUGUUAAGGUGUUGAUAUAUAAAUUUUUGAUGUAUUUAUAAAUGAAAAACAAUUUCCUGAUAUCAAUUCCAGUUCCUCGGUGCUAAACAUGCUCUUAAACACAAGCACAAGGAUUAAUCUGGAGAAUGACAA